CAGCUCGGAUCGGUGGCAUCGACUCGGCAGUAAGACUGGUACGCGUGCGGAUGCUGCCGUCGAUUUUAAUUCCCCGCCCACCCUUGCUUCUAAGUUUCCGGAUAUAUAAGCGGGCGUCUAUCUCUGCUGUUCCGGCUCCGCAUUUGCAGCCCGCGGAUUCGUCGGCGGGAGCCCGCGGAUUUCCAGCUUGUCGUUGUGCAGGCAGGUGGGGAAUUUUUUCUAACCUACUUUGGACUUUGAAGGGAAAACAGAAGAGGGGGUAAGAUUGUUUCUGUUUCUGAGCCCUUUUUGUGUGCAAAGAAUGGGCGGUUCUUGAAGAAAGAGGUCAUGGAAUAAAUUAUUGUAUCGAGAAAUUUAGCAAGGCGCAUUUCAUGCUUUAUCGUAGAGCCAGCGCAGAUGAUAUGGCCUACUAGCUUUCAUCGUCACAACUUGCGUAGUUAGAGAAUGUCAGCUCAACUACUCCACCCAAAAGGAAAAAAGAUGGUUUAGUUUACCGCUUUACUUUAUCACAUUUGUCUCAAGUAACAAGCAUGGAGUGAUAUGUCUCAAAAUAGAUGGGCCGGCUGCGAAUCAACCUGUGGUUGAGUUGGUUAGGUGGACAGUGGUAUCCCCAGCCCACCAGGGUUCAAAUCCUGGUGCUCGCAUUAUUCCUGGAUUUAUUUCAGGAUUUUCGGCGAUGCGCUUUCAGUGGGAGGAGACGUUCCCGUCGAUGACGAGGCGCCUAUGGUGGCUUCGUAAAUCUCAAGAUGAUAUGCCGGCUCAGUCUCUCGGAGGUGCUCAUAGGGGUAGGGUGUGCGUGUGUGCGUUCAUAGGGAUGAGUGUAUGCGCGUGUAUAUGAGCGCUUGUGUCUGUACUGAUGCUCAAAAAAAAAAAGAUGGGCCGGCUAGUAGAGGUGUAGAAUGUUGUUUCGAGCUAUGUAUCUAGUGUCUGUCAACUAACCAUAUGAAUGCUGAGCGCAGCAAGAUGCCAAAUAUAUGUCUCGGAUGCAACUCAAACCUAAUCCCACAUACCUGCUACAUAUAUUUUUUAUACCAUCCAAGUGUUGUUUCUGUCAUAAUUACUCUUAAUUUAUUUAUCCUUUUAUUCUUAUCUAUGCAUUUUCUAAAAACAAAGGUACCUGCUCAGCAGAAAGUGGUCGCAAGUAGGCAAACUGUAAAACAUGGGGAUGUGGCAUCUAUCCUAAGAUGGUGAUCUCACUGAAAGUGGCACUCUUUCUUUUCAUAAGCUGAGAAUCUUCCGUCACAUGCUAAUGGCCCUGUCUGCCUUUCUCCUCCUACUAGUCUCAAGGAACCACCUUUCCCCUUACUUCUUCCCUCCUGAUCCUCACCCAGACACCGCUACUGCAAACACCAUUCCCAUUCAUAUUCACCUAUAUCUUCAUACACAGGCCGUCAUCAUCUAAGAGUGAGGAUCAGGAGAAGGGCGUGACAAGAAGAUGCUGAAGAAACUGAUAUCGAAGACCAAGAGCAAGAAGAAGAAGGAGGCUGCCUCUUCUUCCCUCCCCACCUUGGAUCGACUACAUGAGGUCUCCACCCCUUUUUCCAUUUAAAUGUUUGCCUGUUUUUCUUAUAUCGAUCAACCUUUACCUUCUGCUCUUCUGUUUCCUUCGAGUUGUCAAGAUAGGGUUGGAUUUUGGGCUUGGGAGUUAGGGGACAUUUCUAAAUAGUUCUCUUCAAGAAAUGUGGUCUUUAAUUCGCAACAGAGCAAUUGGUCACUUGUGUAAAGAAAGAAAAACCUCGAUACCGUGUAUCACCCAAGUGAAUAGUAAAAGCUUGAGUACUGAAUGCAGAUGUGGGUAUUUCUGUGUCCAAUGGAUUUCCAGAACACAAGAAUGGAAGAAAACAAUACUUAAAAGGUCUUCUUUUUGUACAUGACAAACCGGCCAGUUGGUUGCGGAUUUUGACCAUUAGGCCUUGUACAAUGCUAGGUGCUUAGAAAAAUAAAGCGGUUUUUCUGAAGCACCAGUGCCUAUUUCUACAGGAGAGACGCCGAACUAAGCAUCUACCCUGUACAAAUAAGCACCGGUGCUUAAGUAAAGCCUGGUUUAUUUCUUUAAGCAGCUCCCCUAAGCACCUUGCAUUGUACAAGGCCUUAGUUGUCAUGUGUCUAGUUGGUUGAAUUGAAGGUAUGGUCAACUGUAUCGGCCUAGUCAAAUUUUGCUCAACUGCUUUGAGGACAUAUGAUGCUGACACUGUUGUACCCUGUUUCUUGUUUUCCUAUUUAAGGCUGCCCCCCCCCCNNNNNNNNNNNNNNNNNNNNNNNNNNNNNNNNNNNNNNNNNNNNNNNNNNNNNNNNNNNNNNNNNNNNNNNNNNNNNNNNNNNNNNNNNNNNNNNNNNNNNNNNNNNNNNNNNNNNNNNNNNNNNNNNNNNNNNNNNNNNNNNNNNNNNNNNNNNNNNNNNNNNNNNNNNNNNNNNNNNNNNNNNNNNNNNNNNNNNNNNNNNNNNNNNNNNNNNNNNNNNNNNNNNNNNNNNNNNNNNNNNNNNNNNNNNNNNNNNNNNNNNNNNNNNNNNNNNNCAUCGUAGGAAAAUAACCUAAUGCGAAGGCCAAGGAAAGGGAAACUUCAGAUUAGGUUGAUGUAUUGUAGUGUUCAUUCCCCCCUGCGGCCUUAGUUAAUUAUACUCAUUAAUCCAUCACGUCCUCACUUUCCUAAUGUUGUGCACAUUAUUGCAAUAGUAACACUUUUCACAGCAAUGUCUGAGAUAUUAUAGUUUAUCGGAGAGAAUUCGAUAGCCUCUUAUAUGUUCAGGGGCUCAUACCAGCGAGACAAAAAGAUAAAUUUGAGUUCUCAAGUUAUGAAUACAGCUAAAUGCUAAUUUGACUAUCGUAUAUUUUCAUUCUCAGUGGCUUAUAUGUUAAUACUUUGCGGUAAUGUGUAGACCCUAGAAAUGCUGGAGAAGAAAGAGCGUUUGCUUCAGAAAAAGUCUUCCGCGGAAAUAGAAAAGGCUAAGGACUAUACAAAGGCAAAGAAUAAGAAUGGUAAGCCUAGUGGAAAAUCCUUUAUUUGUUUGUCAGGUCUUACACAGAAUCUAUCAACACAAGGCAAAAACUUAAACGCUGCUAGUCUGUGCUUGCAUGUCUAAAAAGGAUUUCUAGCUAAUGGCUAUUUGGUCCUGGAAUAACAAGUAAUGUUUCUUAGUUUUUUAUGCUUUUGUAACUUGCAUGAGAAACGGCUUCUUCUUUGUUGCAGCUGCAAUUCAGUGUUUAAAGAAAAAGAAGUUGUAUGAGACACAGAUUGAGCAGCUAUCAAAUUUUCAGUUGCGAGUUCAUGAUCAGGUAAUGUAAGAUAUAGAAGUAUUUCAAUAUAUGCCCACGCAUUAAACUGAUAGGAGAUUAUUUUGUGCAGAUUAUAAUGCUUGAAAAUGCGAAGGCAACAACUGACACUGUUGAUGCUUUGCGCUCUGGGUCAUCUGCUGUCAAAGCUAUUCAACAGUCCCUGUAAGAGUCAAUCAUCCCUCUGCAUUUCAGUGGCAUACCAAGGUGUAGGAUUUCCAUGUGCCAAAGGGCUCCACUUUACCAUUUCUAUUCUAAAAUGAAAAUUCGUCCCCGGUAGUUAUUUGUGUCCACGCUAGUUCAGGUUUGCUUAAUUUCCCCUUCUUGUUUUCUUGAGCUUUUGCACCUUCCAAGCUUAACUAGACCCCGUUCAUUGAAGGUUUCCAUUUAUAGUCAUGACAUGCGCACCCAGCAGCAAUGGCCAUACAGUCCAUACAUGUAUAAGCUACCUGGCAUAGAUGCAGGAAUGCAGCCCAUUGGUUGCCGAUAAUAUAUCCAUACCUGAAUAGGCUGACAUAUGUGAAUCCUUCCGCAGGAGUAUUGAUGACAUUGAGAAUGCAAUCGAAGAGGCGAACGAGCAUACGGAAAAUAUGAAACAGAUACAGGAUGCACUUGCUACACCAUUCGGUGCUUCGGCUGAAUUCGACGAGGUAUGGGUUGGUUUAUUUUUCCCUUUGCACUAGUUUACCAACGUUUACUGUCCGGUCCAUACCGUCCAUACCGUCAAUUUUCAAAGAUGCAUGACACCUUGCUCCUUUUCCGAAUCAGGACGAGUUGGAGGCAGAACUGGAAGACCUCGAGGAGGAAGAACUGGACCUGGAGCUGCCUGAACCGCCGCGGGGGACACACGUGGCACCAUCAACGUCGGCUGCGACUUCUCGACCGGCGGCUAGCGAUUUCGCUGAACUGACCAAACUUCAAGCAGAGAUGGCGCUUUAGGGAUCUGCUAUAAAAAUACUGCGCGGCUAGCGAUUUCGCUGAGCUGACCAAACUUCGAGCAAAGUUGGCGCUUUAGGGAUCUGCUGUAAAAAUACUGCGGUUUGGAGGGAAUGCUGUCAUUGAAACCUCAGAGGCUCACUGCCAUCAUUGCGGCGUGCAUGUAAAAUUCAGGCUAUGUUGUAAGAGCAUCCACCCCUGUUAAUUUCCUGCAUGAUGUUUGGCCUCUAUCUGCGUGCAAUGUCCCCUACACGACCGUGGACACGCCCAGGCACGUGUUGGACGCAGCCGGGCCACCCUCGUACAUCUCUUGCCCGGCAGUGGACUCUUCCUAUCUGGCAGGCACAUACCUCAAAUUUGGAUCGCAGGUCCAUCAUACAUGUCAUUGUCGCACCUGAAUAAUAAAUGUUGGUGCCAAAAAUACAUUUGGUCUAAUAGCCAACAACUUUUUGUAUCCCGCACAUUUGGUUCUUUCAGAUACGCUGCUCCAAACACUUGCACCACACGUGCAGGCAAACCUCACAGUAGUUUUCAGGUAUGUGCUCUCCUUCAUUCAGACCAUCUCACCGACGACAUCGGCAACAGUACCAAGUGCAAGCAUCCGCAGUGCAGCCGUGCAUUUCUGCUUAGAGAAAAAAAAGAUGGCCGCAACAAUCCCUAGUGAGCUUGAAGUAGUCAUCGUGUGCCUCCACUCCCUACACAACGCGCAAAAAACAAUGGUUCGCGCAUACGAAAACAUCGACGAAACCAUGGAUUAUCCGAAAAAGUUGGGUUCGGAUCAAAAUAAUCCUUGUAGAGUAGCCAUGCUCCGAAAACCCUAUCUCUAUUAAUAACUCUCCCUUUGAUUGAGCCCUUGAAGUUGAGAAUAUGCUCCACGUGCCGGUCCAUUUCUUCUUGCAUGACCAUAUCCACCUUUUCACUCGAAUUCGACGAAUCGAAGAACUCAUUUUCAAUCAUUUUAUCAAGCACUGUUGGUCCAUACUCCUCGUCCGAUGAAGCAUCGGAAUCCAAUGUGUCGGUGCCUACGAAUAAAUAACAAAAAACCUGGCGGACAAUGUGUUGAACACAUAGAGCGCAAGGUGCAGGCCGAAAGUUGCUGGACAUACCAUGGUGGCUUUCGGGCCGGCGACGAUGUCCGCGGCGGCGCGCGCGGUGAAGGAAAUAUGCCCUAGAGGCAAUAAUAAAGUUAUUAUUUAUUUUCUUAUUUCAUGAUAAAUGUUUAUUAUUCAUGCUAGAAUUGUAUUAACCGGAAACUUAGUACAUGUGUGAAUACAUAGACAAACAUAAUGUCACUAGUAUGCCUCUACUUGACUAGCUCGUUGAAUCAAAGAUUGUUGUGUUUCCUAACCAUAGACAUGAGUUGUCAUUUGAUUAACGAGAUCACAUCAUUAGAGAAUGAUGUGAUUGACUUGACCCAUUUCGUUAGCUUAGCACUUGAUCGUUUAGUAUGUUGCUAUUGCUUUCUUCAUGACUUAUACAUGUUCCUAUGACUAUGAGAUUAUGCAACUCCCGUUUACCAGAGGAACACUUUGUGUGCUACCAAACGUCACAACGUAACUGGGUGAUUAUAAAGGUGCUCUACAGGUGUCUCCGAAGGUACUUGUUGAGUUCGCGUAUUUUGAGAUUAGGAUUUGUCACUCCGAUUGUCGGAGAGGUAUCUCUGGGCCCUCUCGGUAAUGCACAUCACUAUAAGCCUUGCAAGCAAUGUGACUAAUGAGUUAGUUGCGGGAUGAUGCAUAACAUAACGAGUAAAGAGACUUGCCAAUAAUGAGAUUGAACUAGGUAUUGAGAUACCGACGAUCGAAUCUUAGGCAAGUAACAUACCGAUGACAAAGGGAACAUCGUAUGUUGUUAUGCGGUUUGACCGAUAAAGAUCUUCGUAGAAUAUGUGAGAACCAAUAUGAGCAUCCAGGUUCCACUAUUGGUUAUUGACUGGAGACGUGUCUCGGUCAUGUCUACAUAGUUCUCGAACCCGUAGGGUCCGCACACUUAAAAUCCGGUGACAAUUUAUACUAUGAGUUAUGUGUUUUGAUGUACCGAAGGUAGUUUGGAGUCCCGGAUGAGAUCGGGAACAUGAUGAGGAGUCUCAAAAUAGUCGAGACGUAAAGAUCGAUAUAUUGGACGACUAUAUUCGGACAUCGGAAAGGUUCCGAGUGAUUCGGGUAUUUAUCGGAGUACCGGAGAGUUACGGGAAUUCCCCGGGGAGUAUAUGGGCCUUAUUGGGCUUUAAGGGAAAAAAAGAGAGAGGCAGGCCGCCCCCCCCCCAAGGCCUAGUCCGAAUUGGACUAGGGGGAGGGGCUGCGCCCCCUCCUUUCUUCUCUUCUCUUUUCCCUUUCCUUGACUCCUACUCCUACUACAUGGAAGGGGGGAAUCCUACUCCCGGUGGGAGUAGGACUCCCCAGGGCGCGCCAUAGAGAGGGCCGGCCCCUCCCCUCCCCUCAUCUCCUCCUUUAUAUACUGAGGCUAGGGGCACCCCAUGACACACAAGUUGAUCUAUUGAUCUCUCCGACCGUGUGCGGUGCCCCCCUCCACCAUAUUCCACCUCGGUCAUAUCGUAGCGGUGCUUAGUCGAAGCCCUGCGUCGGUAGCAACAUCAUCAUCGUCAUCACGCCGUCGUGCUGACGGAACUCUCCCGUGAAGCUCUGCUAGAUCGGAGUUCACAGGACGUCAUCGAGCUGAAAGUGUGCUGAACUCGGAGGUGCCGUACGUCGGUACUUGGAUCGGUUAGAUCGUGAAGACAUACGCCUACAUCAACCGCGUUGUGCUAACGCUUCCGCUUUCGUUCUACGAGGGUACGUGGACUAACUCUCCCCGCUCGUUGUUAUGCAUUGAUACGUCUCCAACGUAUCUAUAAUUUUUGAUUGUUCCAUGCUAUUAUAUUACCCCUUUUGGAUGUUUAUGGGCUUUAUUUUACAUUUUUAUAUCAUUUUUAGGACUAACAUACUAACUGGAGGCCCAGCCCGUAUUGCUGUUUUAUUGCCUGUUUCAGUAUUUCGAAGAAAAAGAAUAUCAAACGGAGUCCAAACGAAAUGAAACCUUCGGGAGCGUGAUUUUUGGAAUGAACAUGAUCCGGGAGACUUGGAGUACAAGCGAGGGAAGUUUCGAGGAGGCCAGGACAUAGGAGGGCGCCCACACCCCCUGGGCGCGCCCCUAGUCUCGUCGGCCCCUCGAGGCUCCCCCGACCGACUUCUUUCGCCUAUAUAUUCCCACAUACCCUAAAAACAUCAAGGACAAUGAUAGAUCGGGAGUUCCGCCGCCGCAAGCCUCUGUAGCCACCAAAAUCCUCUUAGGAGCCCGUUCCGGCACACUGCCGGAGGGGGAAUCCAUCACCGGUGACCAUCUUCAUCAUCCCGGCGCUCUCCAUGACAAGGAGGGAGUAGUUCACCCUCGGGGCUGAGGGUAUGUACCAGUAGCUAUGUGUUUGAUCUCUCUCUCUCUCUCUCUCUCUCUCUCUCUCUUGUGUUCUCUCUAUGGCACGAUCUUAAUGUAUCACGAGCUUUGCUAUUAUAGUUGGAUCUUAUGAUGUUUCUCCCCCUCUACUCUCUUGUAAUGGAAUGAGUUUUCCCUUUGAAGUUAUCUUAUCGGAUUGAGUCUUUAAGGAUUUGAGAACACUUGAUGUAUGUCUUGUCGUGCUUAUCUGUGGUAACAAUGGGAUAUCACGUGGUCCACUUGAUGUAUGUUUUGGUGAUCAACUUGUGGGUUCCGCCCAUGGACCUAUGCAUAAGGGUUGGCACACGUUUUCGUCUUGACUCUCCGGUAGAAACUUUGGGGCACUCUUUGAAGUACUUUGUGUUGGUUGAAUAGAUGAAUCUGAGAUUGUGUGAUGCAUAUCGUAUAAUCAUGCCCGCGGAUGAGGUGACAAUGGAGUAUCUAGGUGACAUUAGGGUUUUGGUUGAUUUGUGUCUUAAGGUGUUAUUCUAGUAUGAACUCUAUGAUAGAUUGAACGGAAAGAAUAGCUUCAUGUUAUUUUACUACGGACUCUUGAAUAGAUAGAACAGAAAGGACAACUUUGAGGUGGUUUCGUAUCCUACCAUAAUCUCUUCGUUUGUUCUCCGCUAUUAGUGGCUUGGAGUGACUCUUUGUUGCAUGUUGAGGGAUAGUUAUAUGAUCCAAUUAUGUUAUUAUUGUUGAGAGAACUUGCACUAGUGAAAGUAUGAACCCUAGGCCUAUUUUCCUACCAUUGCAAUACCGUUUAAGCUCACUUUUAUCAUUAGUUACCUUGCUGUUUUUAUAUUUUCAGAUUACAAAAACCUAUAUCUACUAUCCAUAUUGCACUUGUAUCACCAUCUCUUCGCCGAACUAGUGCACCUAUACAAUUUACCAUUGUAUUGGGUGUGUUGGGGACACAAGAGACUCUUUGUUAUUUGGUUGCAGGGUUGUUUGAGAGAGACCAUCUUCAUCCUACGCCUCCCACGGAUUGAUAAACCUUAGGUCAUCCACUUGAGGGAAAUUUGCUACUGUCCUACAAACCUCUGCACUUGGAGGCCCAACAACGUCUACAAGGAGAAGGUUGCGUAGUAGACAUCAAGCUCUUUUCUGGUGCCGUUGCCGGUAAGGCUAGGUAAGCGGCACUCACACCACUUCAACUAAGCUCUUUUCCGGCGCCGUUGCCGGGGAGGUGAGUGCUUGAAGGUAUAUCUUUAGAUCUUGCAAUCGAAUCUUUUUGUUUCUUGUUUCAUCACUAGUUUAGUUUAUAAAAGAAAACUACAAAAAAAUGGAGUUAAGUUUGUCGCACACGCUUUAUCUUUUUAGUAUCUUUCGUGAGUAUGAUGAAAAGGAAAAUUGUGCUCAAGUGCUAGAAGAAGAAUGCAUUAAAAUGCUUGGUACUAAAUCUUUGAAUGAUGAUCAUGAUUGCAAUGUUGUUAGUAUGAACUCUUUGAAUAUCCAUAGUACUAAUGAUGAUUGCACUAGUUAUGAUGAAAAUAUCUCUUAUAAGCAUAUCGAUUUUUGUGGAGUAGAUUGAGUUUGCAAGUACACACCAAAUAGGGAAAAUAGAUAUUGCAAGAGGCAUAAGUAUUUAGAAACUAAAGGGUUGCAAGAAAUUCUUGAUGUUUGUGCUGAAAAAUUCAAUAUUUUUCGCGCUCCUUGUGAACUUUGCAAUGAACGUGGUCAUUUAAAUCUCCAAUGCAAAUUGUUUCAUGACCGAAUCGUGUCCAAAAAUUGUGAUAACUUGAUUACCCUUGAGCAUCAUAAAGAUCUUAGUCUUCUUUUGGGGUAUGAAGAAAUGAAACGUAUAACUGAGGGUAUUCCAAAAUUUAAUCUUGAUAGAUGUCUUGAUUUUGAUCUAGAGAAGAUUUAUUUGUAUUGUGCGGUGAAUUGCAUUGAAAAUCCUUAUAUUGGCAAUUACUUAAAGAAAAGAAAGCAAUUAUAAGAUGAAGAGAAUACUAAUGAAAGGGAAGAGACUUCCCAAUCUCCUCCUAUUAUUUCUUAUGAUGAAUCAAGUAACGAGGAGGAGCUUUCUAUUAAACCAAUCUCAUCAAUAAGGAGCUCAAAGAAGAAGGUUGAACCCACACAUAAUGAGAAGAAAAAAAAUAAAAGAAGGAGCAACAAAGGUAGAAAGGUAUCCCUCCCAAAUGAUGUUGCCCCUACUACUCAUUGUGAUGAUGAUAAUUGCCAUACUAUUGGUGCUAUCCAUAUUUUUAAUGAUGAGAGUGAUUAUGCUUAUGAUAUGAAAAGGCCCAAGUUUGGGGAAGCUAUGUUUGAUGAGGAUGAAAUAUUUGAGAAUAUAUUUUCUGAAAUUAAUGUUUGUCCCAAGCUUGGGGAUGCUAUGUUUAAUGAAGAUGAUAUUUUUAGCAUCCCAAGUUUUGAUAUGCAAAGUUGUUAUAAUGAUAGCAUGCCUCUUACCUAUGAUGAUUAUAUUGAUGAAAGUGGGUUUGGAAGAGUGUCAACUUUAGGAAGUAGUGAUCCCACUAUUUUGGAGGAUGUUGAAUUUUAUUGUGAUGAAUACAAAAGUGGAUUUGGAAGAGUGUCAACUUUAUUUAGUGAUUCCACUAUCUUUGGAGAGGUUUCAAUCGAUUAUGAUGAGAACGAAGUUGCUACUUCUGAUGAUUAUUGUGAUGAAACUUAUGCUAUAAAAAGUAGUGAUGAUUAUAUUUAUAAAACUUGUCAUGAUUAUGAUUACCCUUUUUCUGAACAUUACACUUUUAAUGUGGAAACAAUUUUUAGUGUUCAAGUCUCUUAUGAUACUCCCACUAUUCCGAAUGAGAAGAAUUUUGCUUAUGUGGAGAGUAGUAAAAUUUCUAUGCUUGUAGAUCAUGAAAAGAAUUCUUUAGGCGCUGGUUAUAUUAUUGAAUUCAUUCAUGAUUCUACUGAAAAUUAUUAUGGGGGAGGAACAUAUGCUUGUAGGAAUUGCAAUAAUGUCAAGUUUCCUCUCUAUGUGCUUAAAGUCUUGAAGUUAUGCUUGUUUUACCUUCCUAUGCUAGUUGAUUAUUGUUCCCAUAAGUUGUUUGCUCAGAAAAUCCCUAUGCAUAGGAAGUGUGUUAGGCUUAAAUGUGCUAGUCAUAUGCUUCAUGAUGCUCCCGUUAUGUUUCAAUUCAUAUCGUUUAUAUGAGCAUCAUUGUCAUCAUCAUGCCUAGCUAGAAAGGCAUUAAAAAAAGCGCUUGUUGAGAGUCAAUCCAAUAUUUAUCCUUACUGUUUUUACGUGUCCACAUGAUUAUGCUACUAUAAUAAUCAUGUUUUAUAGCUUUUGUUUCAAUAAAGUGCCAAGUAAGACCUUUAGGAUAGCUUACGGUGAUAGUUGUGUUGAUCCUACUGAAAAUCAGAAAUUUUUGCACCCAGUAAAUUAGUUUUGUUAAUUCACAGAAACGUGCUCAUGAUCUGAUUCUUUUUUGCUCUGGAUUGGUACACAAAUUUCUUAGGACUUCCUAGUUUGGUAGGAUUUUUAGACUUCCAGAAGUUUGCGUUAGUUACAGAUUGCUACAGAUUGUUCUGUUUUUGACAGAUUCUGUUUUCAUUAUGUUGUUUGCUUACUUGAUGAAUCUAUGGCUAGUAUUAAGUGGUAUGAACCAUAGAGAACUUGAAAUACAGCAGUUUUAACACCAAUAUAAAUAAAUAAUGAGUUCAUUACAGUACCUUAUGUGGUGGUUUUGUUUUGUUUCACUAACGGAGCUUAUAAGAUUUCCUGUUGAGUUUUGUGUUGUGAAGUUUUCAAGUUUUGAGUAAAGAUUUGAUGGACUAUGGAAUAAGGAGUGGCAAAAGCCUAAGCUUGGGGAUGCCCAUGGCACACCAAGCUAUUCAAGAGUAGCCAAAAGCCUAAGCUUGGGGAUGCCCCGGGAAGGCAUCCCCUCUUUCGUCUUCGUUCAUUGGUAACUUUACUUGGAGCUAUAUUUUUAUUCGCCAUAUGAUAUGUGUUUUGCUCGGAGCGUCGUGUAUGAUAUUAGUAUUUUCUUUUUAGUUUUCCACAAUCAUCCUUGUUGUACACACCUUUUGGGAGAAGCCUACUUUAUUAGAAUUUAUUAGAAUACUCUAUGUGCUUCACUUAUAUCUUUUGAGCUUGAUAGUUUUUGCUCUAGUGCUUCACUUAUAUCUUUUAGAGCACGGCGGUGGCUUAAUUUUGUAGAAAUUGCUAGUAUCUCAUGCUUCACUUAUAUUAUUUUGAGAGCCUCUUAGAACAACAUGGUAUUUGCUACGGUUAUAAAAUUGGUCCUAGAAUGGUAGGCAUCCAAGUUGGGUAUAAUAAAAACUAUCAUAGGAAGUGAAUUGGAUGCUAUGAUCAAUUUGACACUUGAUAAUUGUUUUGAGAUAUGGAGGUAGUGAUAUUAGAGUCAUGCUAGUUGGGUGAUUAUGAAUUUAAAGAAUGCUUGUGUUGAAGUUAGCAAGUCCCGUAGCAUGCAUGUAUGGUUAAAGUUGUGUAACAAAUUUGAAACAUGAAGUGUCCUUGGAUUGUGCAUCCUUAUGAGUGGUGGUCGUGGACGAGCGAUGGUCUUUUCCUACCAAUCUAUCUCUCUAGGAGCAUGCGCGUAGUGGUUGGUUUUUGAUGACUUCUAAAUUUUUUGCAAUAAGUAUAUGAGUUCUUUUGACUAAUGUUGAGUCCAUGGAUUAUACGCACUUUUACCUUUCCAUCAUUGCUAGCCUCUUCGGUACCAUGCAUUGCCUUUUCUCACCUUGAGAGUUGGUGCAAACUUCGCCGGUGCAUCCAAACCCCGUGAUAUGAUACACUGUAUCACACAUAAACCUCCUUAUAUCUUCCUCAAAACAGCCACCAUACCUACCUAUUAUGGCAUUUCCAUAGCCAUUCCGAGAUAUAUUGCCAUGCAACUUUUCACCGUUCCGUUUAUCAUCAUGACACGCAUUACUUUUGUCAUAUUGCCAUUGCAUGACAUGUAGUUGACAUCGUAUUUGUGGCAAAGCCACCGUGCAUAAUUUUUCAUACAAGUCACUCUUGAUUCAUUGCACCAUCCUGGUACACCACCGGAGGCAUUCAUAUAGAGUCAUAUCUUGUUCUAGUUUUGAGUUGUAAUUCAUGUGUUGUAAAUCAAUAAAAGUGUGAUAAUCAUCAUUAUUAGAGCAUUAUCCCCAAAAAAGGCCAAAGAAAAAAAGGAAAAAAAGAAAAAAAAAAGAAAAGAAAAAAGAAAAAAGAAAAAGAAAGAAAAAGGGGGCAAUGUCACUAUCUCUUUUCCACACUUGUGCUUCAAAGUAGCACCAUGUUCUUCAUAUAGAGAGUCUCAUAUAUUGUCACUUUCAUAUACUAGUGGGAAUUUUUCAUUAUAGAACUUGGCUUGUAUAUUCCUACGAUGGGCUUCCUCAAAAUGCCCUAGGUCUUCGUAAGCAAGCAAGCUGGAUGCACACCCACUAGUUUUAUUUUGUUGAGCUUUCAUACAUUUAUAGCUCUAGUGCAUCCGUUGCAUGGCAAUCCCUACUCCUCAUGUUGACAUCAAUUGAUGGGCAUCUCCAUAGCCCGUUGAUUAUCCUCGUCAAUGUGAGACUUUCUCCUUUUUUGGUCUUCUCCACACAAUCCCCAUCAUCAUAUUCUAUUCCACCCAUAGUGUUAUAUCCAUGGCUCAUGCUCAUGUAUUGCGUGAAAGUUGAAAAAGUUUGAGAUUAUUUAAGUACGAAACAAUUGCUUGGCUUGUCAUCGGGGGUGUAGAAUUUGGGAACAUUUUUGUGUGAUGAAAAUGAAGCAUAGCCUAACUAUAUGAUUUUGUAGGGAUGAACUUUCUUUAGCCAUGUUAUUUUGAGAAGACAUGAUUGCUUUUAUUAGUAUGCUUAAAGUGUUACUAUUUCUUAUGUCAAUAUGAACUUUUAUUUUGAAUCAUUUGGAUCUGAACAUUCAUGCCACAAUAAAGAAAAUUACUUUGAGAAUAAUGCUAGGUAGCAUUCCACAUCAAAAAUUCUGUUUUUAUCCUUUACCUACUCGAGGACGAGCAUGAAUUAAGCUUGGGGAUGCUUGAUGCGUCUCCAAUGUAUCUAUAAUUUUUGAUUGUUCCAUGGUAUUAUAUUACCCCUUUUGGAUGUUUAUGGGCUUUACUUUACACUUUUACAUCAUUUUUAGGACUAACCUACUAACCGGAGGCCCAGCCUGUAUUGCUGUUUUAUUGUCUGGUUCAGCAUUUCGAAGAAAAGGAAUAUCAAACGGAGUCCAAACGAAAUGAAACCUCCGGGAGCGUGAUUUUUGGAAUGAACAUGAUCUAGGAGACUUGGAGUACAAGCCAGGGAAGUUUCGAGGAGGCCGGGAGAUAGGAGGGCGCGCCCACCCCCCUGGGCGUGCCCCCCUGUCUCGUGGGCCCCUCGAGGCUCCCCCGACCGACUUCUUUCACCUAUAUAUUCCCAUAUACCCUAAAAACAUCGAGGACGAAGAUAGAUCGGGAGUUCCGCCGCAGCAAGCCUCUGUAGCCACCAAAAACCUCUCAGGAGCCCGUUCCGGCACCCUGCCGGAGGGGGAAUCCAUCACCGGUGGCCAUCUUCAUCAUCCCGGCGCUCUCCGUGACGAGGAGGGAGUAGUUCACCCUCGGGGCUGAGCGUAUGUACCAGUAGCUAUGUGUUUGAUCUCUCUCUCUCUCUCUCUCUCUCGUGUUCUCUCUAUGGCACGAUCUUGAUGUAUCGCGAGCUUUGCUAUUAUAGUUGGAUCUUAUGAUGUUUCUCCCCCUCUACUCUCUUGUAAUGGAUUGAGUUUUCCCUUUGAAGUUAUCUUAUCAGAUUGAGUCUUUAAGGAUUUGAGAACACUUGAUGUAUGUCUUGUCGUGCUUAUCUGUGGUGACAAUGGGAUAUCACGUGAUCCACUUGAUGUAUGUUUUGGUGAUCAACUUGCGGGUUCCUCCCAUGAACCUAUGCAUAAGGGUUGGCACACGUUUUCGUCUUGACUCUCCGGUAGAAACUUUGGGGCACUCUUUGAAGUACUUUGUGUUGGUUGAAUAGAUGAAUCUGAGAUUGUGUGGUGCAUAUCGUAUAAUCAUGCCCAUGGAUACUUGAGGUGACAAUGGAGUAUCUAGGUGACAUUAGGGUUUUGGUUAAUUUGUGUCUUAAGGUGUUAUUCUAGUAUGAAAUCUAUGGUAGAUUGAACGGAAAGAAUAGCUUCAUGUUAUUUUACUACGGACUCUUGAAUAGAUAGAACAGAAAGGAUAACUUUGAGGUGGUUUCGUACCCUACCAUAAUCUCUUCGUUUGUUCUCCGCUAUUAGUGGCUUUGGAGUGACUCUUUGUUGCAUGUUGUGGGAUAGUUAUAUGAUCCAAUUAUGUUAUUAUUGUUGAGAGAACUUGCAUUAGUGAAAGUAUGAACCCUAGGCCUUGUUUCCUACCAUUGCAAUACCGUUUACGGUCACUUUUAUCAUUAGUUACCUUGCUGUUUUUAUAUUUUCAGAUUACAAAAACCUAUAUCUACUAUCCAUAUUGCACUUGUAUCACCAUCUCUUCACCGAACUAGUGCACCUAUACAACUUACCAUUGUAUUGGGUGUGUUGGGGACACAAUAGACUCUUUGUUAUUUGGUUGCAGGGUUGUUUGAGAGAGACCAUCUUCAUCCUAUGCCUCGCACGGAUUAAUAAACCUUAGGUCAUCCACUUGAGGGAAAUUUGCUACUGUCCUACAAACCUAUGCACUUGGAGGCCCAACAACGUCUACAAGGAGAAGGUUGCGUAGUAUACAUCAUGCAUCACCAUGAUCUUGCGUGUGCGUAGGAUUUUUUUUGAAAUUACUACGUUCCCCAACAGUGGCAUCCGAGCUAGAUUUAUGCGUAGAUGUUAUAUGCACGAGUAGAACACAAGUGAGUUGUGGGCGAUACAAGUCAUAAUGCUUACCGGCAUGUCAUACUUUGGUUCGGCGGUAUUGUUGGAUGAAGCGGCUCGGACCGAUAUUACGCUUACGCUUACGCGAGACUGGUUCUACCGACGUGCUUUGCACACAGGUGGCUGACGGGUGUCUGUUUCUCCAACUUUAGUUGAACCAAGUGUGGCUACGCCCGGUCCUUGUGAAGGUUAAAACAACACUAACUUGACGAAAUAUCAUUGUGGUUUUGAUGCGUAGGUAAGAACGGCUCUUGCUCAGCCCGUAGCAGACACGUAAAACUUGCAACAACAAAGUAGAGGACGUCUAACUUGUUUUUGCAGGGCAUGUUGUGAUGUGAUAUGGUCAAGACGUGAUGAGAUAUAAGUUGUUGUAUGAUAUGAUCAUGUUUUGUAGAAGUUAUCGGCAACUGGCAGAAGCCUUAUGGUUUUCUCUUUAUUGCAUAAGAUGCAAGCGCCAAAUAAUUGCUUUACUUUAUCGCUAUGUGAUAGCAAUUGUCGGUGAGACGACCAUGUGAUGACACAUCGAUAUAGAUCAAGAUGAUGGAGAUCAUGGUGUCAUGCCGGUGACGAUGGAGAUCAUAACGAUGCUUUGGAGAUGGAGAUCAAAGACACAAGAUAAUGAUGGCCAUAUUAUGUCACAUAUUUUAAUUGCAUGUGAUGUUUAUCUUUUAUACAUCUUAUUUUGCUUUAACUGACGGUAGCAUUAUAAGAUGAUCUCUCACUAAAUUUCAAGGUAUAAGUGUUCUCCUUGAGUAUGCACCGUAGCCAAAGUUCGUCGUGCCGAGACACCACGUGAUGAUCGGGUGUGAUAAGCUCAACGUUCAUCUACAACGGGUGCAAGCCAGUUUUGCAAACGGAGAAUACCCGGGUUAAACUUGACGAGCCUAGCAUAUGCAGAUAUGGCCUCGAAACACUGAGACCGAAAGGUCGAGCGUGAAUCAUAUAGUAGAUAUGAUCAACAUAGUGAUGUUCACCAUUGAAAACUACUCCAUCUCACAUGAUGAUCGGACAUGGUUUAGUUUAUUUGCAUCACGUGAUCACUUAGAUGAUUAGAGGGAUGUCUAUCUAAGUGGGAGUUCUUAAGUAAUAUGAUUAAUUGAACUUUAAUUUAUCAUGAACUUAGUCUUGAUAGUGUUUUGCAAACAAUAUUGUAGAUCAAUAGCUCGCGUUGUUGCUUCCCUAUGUUUUUUAUGUGUUCCUAGAGAAAACUAAGUUGAAAGAUGAUAGUAGCAAUGAUGCGAACUCGGUCCGUGAUCUGAGGUUUAUCCUCAUUGUUACACAGAACAAUUAUGUCCUUGAUGCACCGCUAGGUGAUGUCUACUACACAACCUUCUUCUUGUAGACGUUGUUGGGCCUGCAAGUGCACGAGUUUGUAGGACAGUAGCAAAUUUCCCUCAAGUGGAUGACCUAAGGUUUAUCAAUCCGUAGGAGGCGUAGGAUUAAGAUGGUCUCUCUCAAACAACCCUGCAACCAUUUACAAAGAGUCUCUUGUGUCCCCAACACACCCAAUACAAUGGUAAGUUGUAUAGGUGCACUAGUUCGGCGAAGAGAUGGUGAUACAAGUGCAAUAUGGAUGGUAGAUAAAGGUUUUUGUAAUCUGAAAUUAUAAAAACAGCAAGGUAACAAGUGGUAAAAGUGAGCGUAAACGGUAUUGCAAUGAUAGGAAACAAGGCCUAGGGUUCAUACUUUCACUAGUUCAAGUUCUCUCAACAAUAAUAACAUAGAUAGAUCAUAUAACAAUCCCUCAACAUGCAACAAAGAGUCACUACAAAGCCACUAAUAGCGGAGAACAAUCAUAGAGAUUAUGGUAGGGUAUGAAACCACCUCAAAGUUAUUCUUUCGGAUCAAUCUAUGCAAGAGUUCGUACUAGAAUAACACCUUAAGACACAAAUUAACCAAAACCCUAAUGUCACCUAGAUACUCCAUUGUCACCUCAAGUAUCCGUGGGCAUGAUUAUACGAUAUGCAUCACACAAUCUCAGAUUCAUCCAACCAACACAAAGUACUUCAAAGAGUGCACCAAAGUUUCUACCGGAGAGUCAAGAAAACGUGUGCCAACCCCUAUGCAUAGGUUCAUGGAUGGAACCCGCAAGUUGGUCACCAAAACAUACAUCAAGUGGCACGUGAUAUCCCAUUGUCACCACAGAUAAACAUUGCAAGACAUACAUCAAGUGUUCUCAAAUAAAGACUCAAUCCGAUAAGAUAACUUCAAGAGGGAAACUCAAUUCAUCACAAGAGAGUAGAGGGGGAGAAACAUCAUAAGAUCCAACUAUAAUAGCAAAGCUCGGGAUACAUCAAGAUCGUGCCAUAGAGGGAACACGAGAGAGAACACGAGAGAGAGAGAUCAAAGACAUAGCUACUGGUACAUACCCUCAGCCUCGAGGGUGAACUACUCCCUCCUCGUCAUGGAUAGCGCCGGGAUGAUGAAGAUGGCCACCGGUGAUGGAUUCCCCCUCCGGCAGGGUGCCGGAACGGGCUCCCGAGAGGUUUUUGGUGGCUACAGAGGCUUGCGGCGGCAGAACUCCCGACCUAUCUUGAUAUUCGAUGUUUUUAGGGUACGUGGACUUAUAUAGGCAAAAGAAGUCGGUCGGGGGGUGCUCGAGGGGCCCACGAGGCAAGGGGCGCGCCCAGUAGGGGGGCACCCUCCUAUCUCAUGGCCUCCUCGAGGCUCUUCUGACGUGAACUCCAAGUCUCCUGGGUGAUAUUCUUCCCAAAAAUCACGUUGCCGAAGGUUUCAUUCCGUUUGGACUCCGUUUGAUAUUCCUUUUCUUCGAAAUACUGAAACAGGCAAUAAAACAACAAUAUGGGCUGGGCCUCCGGUUAAUAGGUUAGUCCCAAAAGUAAUCUAAAAGUGUAAAAUAAAGCUCGUAAUCAUUCAAAACAGAUAAUAAAAUAGCAUGAAUGCUUCAUAAAUUAUAGAUACGUUGGAGACGUAUCAGCAUCCCCAAGCUUAAUUCCUACUCGUCCUCGAGUAGGUAAAUGAUAAAGAAAGAAUUUAUGAAGUGUGAAUGCUAGAAGGUGCACAAGUUUGACCAAUGAUAAUUUCAAUCACCUUUUCUAGCAUGAUUAUAUGUCAUAAUAGUAGUUCAUCUCAUAAAACUUCUCACGAACAAGUAACAAGCAAUUCACAUGUUAAAGUAUAGACCAUAAACUUUCUUGAAAACUAGCAAACUUCAUUCUUAGUCAUCAAACAAUUGCAAUUCAUCUUAUUUUCAGGAAUAGCAAACUCCACAUACUCAACUAUCACAUAGUCUUCUACAAUUGCUAACACUCACGCAAUACUUGUGGUUAUGAAGUUUUAAUCAGACACAGAGAAAGAUAGGGGCUUAUAAUGUUGCCUCCAAACGUAUUCACCUUUGGGUGAUGUCAACAAUAAUAGUUCAUGCUAGCGUACAUCCAAUUGGAUAUAUAUAUAUCAGGAUCACCCUAACACAAAGUGCUUGCCAAAGGAUAAAAUGAAAAAGGGAAAGGUGAAGAUCACCUUGACUCUUGCAUAAAGUAAAAGACAUAAAGUAAAAGAUAGGCCCUUCGCAGAGGGAAGCAGAGGUUGCCAUGCGCUUUUAGGGUUGGAUACACAAAAUCUUAAUGCGAAAGAACGUCACUUUAUAUUGCCCCUUGUAUAUGGACCUUUAUUAUGCAGUCCGUCGCUUUUAUUGCUUCCAUAACAAGUUCAUACAAAGCUUAUGUUGUCCGCACUAAUAAGUCAUGCAUAUUUAGAGAGCAAUUUUUAUUGCUUGCACCGAUGACAACUUACUUGAAGGAUCUUACUCAAUCCAUAGGUAGAUAUGGUGGACUCUCAUGGCAAAACUGGGUUUAAGGAUAUUUGGAAGCACAAGUAGUAUCUCUACUUGGUGCUAGGAAUUUUUGGCUAGCAUGAGGGGGAAAGGCAAGCUCAACAUGUUUGAAUGAUCUAUGACAAUAUACUUUAACUGAGAUGUGAGAAAACAUAACUCAUUACGUUGUCUUCCUUGUCCAACAUCAACUCUUUAGCAUGUCAUACUUAAUGAGUGCUCACAAUUAUAAAAGAUGUCUAUGAUAAUAUAUUUAUAUGUGAAAUCUCUCUUCCUUCAAUAUUCUUUCAUGAAUUGUUCAAAUGACUAAUACAAUGCUUGCUAACCGUCAAUAAAUUUACAACCUCUACUUCUUAGAUGUGAAGUCAUUACUCCCCAUGGGAUAAGCAAAUGAAACAUAUAUAGUUUCAGAUUUAUGACAUUCAACUCAUUCAACCAUUUACUCAUAGGAUAUAAGUGAAGCACAAAAGUAAAUGACAAACUACCCCAAAAAGAUACAAGUGAAGAUCAAUGAGUAGCUAAAUAGUUAUGUAACUAUGUGAAGACUCUCUCUCAUUAAAGAAUUUCAGAUCUUGGUAUCUUAUUCAAACAGCAAGCAAACAAAAUAAAAUGGCAUUGCAAUGAUAGCACCACUCAUGUGAAGAAGCAAAAACUUAGGCUCAACCGAUACUAACCGAUAGUUGUUGAAGAAGAAAGGUGGGAUGCCUAAUGGGGCAUCCCUAAGCUUAGAUGCUUGAGACUUCUUGAAAUAUUAUCUUGGGGUGCCUUGGGCAUCCCCAAUCUUGAGCUUUUAUGUCUCCUUAAUUCCUCUCAUAUCAUGGUUUCUCUUCUUUUUAUUAAAAGCUUCAUCCACAACAAACUCAACAAGAACUCGUGAGAUAGGUUAGUAUAAACCAAUGCAAAACCUUUUUCUACUGUAAAAAAUCACUAAAAUUAUUAUUCAACAUUGCAUACUAAAUGGCUCUGCAUAUUUAAUACUCCUAUCCUCAAAUAGAAUCAUUAAACAAGCAAACAUAUGCAAACAUUGCAAACAUAAUAGCAAUCUGCCAAAACAGUACAAUCUGUAAAGAAUGCAAGAUUCAUCAUACUUCCCUAAUUCAAACAAUUAUGAAAUAAAAUUCCCACUGUAGUAAAUUUAUCAGAGCUUAAUAUUCAAAAAGUUUCAGCAUUAUACCAUUCUCUGACUUUUCUAGGGAAUUUUUGCGACAGCGGUAAACUUUCUGUUUUCAAACAGCAACAUGUAUACUAGCAAAAUAACCAUGGCAAAGGCUAUCCUUGACAUUUUUAUUGAAAAUAAAGAUGCAAAACAUUAUUAUAAAUAACAGCAAGCAAAAACUAACAAACUAAAAUGACGCUCCAAGCAAAACACAUACCAUGUGGCGAAUAAAAAUAUAGCUCCAAGUAAAGUUAUCGAUGAACGAAGACGAAAGAGGGGAUGCCUUCCGGGGCAUCCCCAAGCUUAGGAUCAUGGUUGUACUUGAAUAUUACCUUGGAGUGCCUUGGUAAUCCCCAAGCUUAGGCUCUUUCCACUCCUUAUUCCAUAGUCCAUCGAAUCUUUACCCAAAACUUGAAAACUUCAACCACACAAAACUCAACACAAAACUCGUAAGCUCCGUUAGUAUAAGAAAAUAAAACCACCACUUAGGUAAUGUAAUUAACUCAUUUUAAAUUAAUAUUGGUGUAAUAUCUACUGUAUUCUAACUUCUCUAUGGUUCAUACCCUCCGAUACUACUCAUAGAUUCAUUAAAAUAAGCAAACAACACAAUGAAAACAGAAUCUGUCAAAAACAGAACAGUCUGUAGUAAUCUGUAUCAAACGUAUACUUAUGGAACCCCAAAACUUAUGAAAUAAAUUGUUGGACCUGAGGAAUUUGUCUAUUAAUAAUCUGCAAAAAUAAUCAACCUAAAAUCACUCUCCAGUAAAAAAUGGUAACUAAUCUCGUGAGCACAAAAGAUUCUGUUUUUUACAGCAAGAUCAUAUAGACUUCACCCAAGUCUUCCCAAAGGUUGUACUUGGCACUUUAUUGAAACAAAAGCUAUUAAACAUGAUUACUACAGUAGCAUAAUCAUGUGGACACACAAAAACAGUAAGGAUAAAUAUUGGGUUGUCUCCCAACAAGCGCUUUUCUUUAAUGCCUUUUUAGCUAGGCAUGAUGAUGGCAAUGAUGCUCACAUAAAGGAUAAGAAUUGAAACAUAAAGAGUGCAUCAUGAAGCAUAUGGCUAGCACAUUUAAGCCUAACCCACUUCUUAUGCAUAGGGAUUUUGUGAGCAAACAACUUAUGGGAACAAUAAUCAACUAGCAUAGGAGGGCAAAAGAAGCAUAGCUUCAAAAUUUUCAACACAUAGGGAGGAAACUUGAUAUUAUUGCAAUUCCUACAAGCAUAAGUUCCUCCCUCAUAAUAAUUUUAAGUAGCAUCAUGAAUGAAUUCAACAAUAUAACCAGCACCUAAAGCAUUCUUUUCAUGAUCUACAAGCAUAGAAAAUUUACUACUCUCCACAUAAGCAAAAUUCUUCUCAUGAAUAAUAGUGGGAGCAAACUCAACAAAAUAAUUAUCAUGUGAGGCAUAAUCCAAUUGAAAACUAAAAUCAUGAUGACAUGUUUCAUGGUUAUAAUUAUUAUUAAUAGCAUACAAGUCAUCAUAAUAAUCAUCAUAGAUAGCAACUUUGUUCUCAUAAUCAAUUGGAACCUCUUCCGAAAUAGUGGAAUCAUCACUAAAUAAAGUUGACACUCUUCCAAAUCCACUUUCAUGUUCAUCAUAAUAAGAUUCAACAUCCUCUAAAAUAGUGGGAUCACUACUUCCUAAAGUUGACACUCUUCCAAACCCACUUUCAUCAAUAUAAUCAUCAUAAAUAGGAGGCAUGCUUUCAUCAUAAUAAUUCUCAUCAAAGCUUGGGGGACAAAAAAUAUAAUAUUCAUCAAACAUAGCUUCUUCAAGCUUGUGGCUUUGCAUAUCAUUAGCAUCAUGGAUAUUCAAGAAAUUCAUACUAACAACAUUGUAAUCAUGCUCAUCAUUCAUAGAUUUAGUAUCAAACAUUCUAUAGAUUUCUUCUUCUAGCACUUGAGCACAAAUUUCCUUUUCAGCAUACUCACGAAACAUAUUAAAAAGACAAAGCGUAUGAGACAAACUUAACUCCAUUUUUUAGUUUUCUUUUAUAAACUAAACUAGUGAUAAAACAAGAAACAAAAAUAUUCGAUUGCAAGAUCUAAAGAUAUACCUUCAAGCACUCACCUCCCCGGCAACGGCGCCAGAAAAGAGCUUGAUGUCUACUACACAACCUUCUUCUUGUAGACGUUGUUGGGCCUGCAAGUGCACGAGUUUGUAGGAUAGUAGCAAAUUUCCCUCAAGUGGAGACCUAAGGUUUAUCAAUCCGUAGGAGGCGUAGGAUGAAGAUGGUCUCUCUCAAACAACCCUACAACCAAAUAACAAAGAGUCUCUUGUGUCCCCAACACACCCAAUACAAUGGUAAGUUGUAUAGGUGCACUAGUUCGGCGAAGAGAUGGUGAUACAAGUGCAAUAUGGAUGGUAGAUAAAGGUUUUUGUAAUCUAAAAUUAUAAAAACAGCAAGGUAACAAGUGGUAAAAGUGAGCGUAAAUGGUAUUGCAAUGAUAGGAAACAAGGCCUAGGGUUCAUACUUUCACUAGUGCAAGUUCUCUCAACAAUAAUAACAUAGAUAUAUCAUAUAACAAUCCCUCAACAUGCAACAAAGAGUCACUCCAAAGCCACUAAUAGCGGAGAACAAACGUAAAGAUUAUGGUAGGGUACGAAACCACCUCAAAGUUAUUCUUUCGGAUCAAUCUAUGCAAGAGUUCGUACUAGAAUAACACCUUAAGACACAAAUCAACCAAAACCCUAAUGUCACCUAGAUACUCCAUUGUCACCUCAAGUAUCCGUGGGCAUGAUUAUACGAUAUGCAUCACGCAAUCUCAGAUUCAUCCAACCAACACAAAGUACUUCAAAGAGUGCCCCAAAGUUUCUACCGGAGAGUCAAGAAAACGUGUGCCAACCCCUAUGCAUGGGUUCAUGGGCGGAACCCGCAAGUUGGUCACCAAAACAUACAUCAAGUGGCACGUGAUAUCCCAUUGUCACCACAGAUAAACACGGCAAGACAUACAUCAAGUGUUCUCAAAUAAAGACUCAAUUCGAUAAGAUAACUUCAAGAGGGAAACUCAAUUCAUCACAAGAGAGUAGAGGGGGAGAAACAUCAUAAGAUCCAACUAUAAUAGCAAAGCUCGAGAUACAUCAAGAUCGUGCCAUAGAGGGAACAUGAGAGAGAGAGAUCAAACACAUAGCUACUGGUACAUACCCUCAGCCUCCAGGGUGAACUACUCCCUCCUCGUCAUGGAUAGCCGGGAUGAUGAAGAUGGCCACCGGUGAUGGAUUCCCCCUCCGGCAGGGUGCCGGGACGGGCUCCCGAGAGGUUUUUGGUGGCUACAGAGGCUUGCGACGGUGGAACUCCCGAUCUAUCUUGAUAUUCGAUGUUUUUAGGGUACGUGGACUUAUAUAGGCGAAAGAAGUCGAUCGGGGGGUGCUCGAGGGGCCCACGAGACAGGGGGGUGCGCCCAGUAGGGGGGGCGCCCUCUUAUCUCGUGGCCUCCUCGAGGCUCUUCUGACUUGAACUCCAAGUCUCCUGGGUGAUAUUCUUCCCAAAAAUCACGCCGCCGAAGGUUUCAUUCCGUUUGGACUCCGUUUGAUAUUCCUUUUCUUCGAAAUACUGAAACAGGCAAUAAAACAACAAUAUGGGCUGGGCCUCCGGUUAAUAGAUUAGUCCCAAAAGUAAUAUAAAAGUGUAAAAUAAAGCCCGUAAUCAUUCAAAACAGAUAAUAAAAUAGCAUGAAUUCUUCAUAAAUUAUAGAUACGUUGGAGACGUAUCACUAGGUGACAGACCUAUUGCAGGAGCAGAUGCAGGCGUUAUGAACAUUUGGCUAGCUCAAUAUGAUGACUACUUGACAGUUUAGUGCACCAUGCUUAAUGGCUUAGAAUCGGGACUUCAAAGACGUUUUGAACGUCAUGGACCAUAUGAGAUGUUCCAAGAGUUGAAGUUAAUAUUUCAAGCAAAUACCCGAGUUGAGAGAUAUGAAUUCUCCAACAAGUUCUAUAGCUAAAAGAUGGAGGAGAAUUGCUCAACUAGUGAGCAUGUGCUCAGAUUGUCUGGGUACUACAAUCACUUGAAUCAAGUGGGAGUUAAUCUUCCAGAUAAGAUAGUGAUUGACAGAGUUCUCUAGUCACCAUCAUCAAGUUACUGGAACUUCAUGAUGAACUAUAGUAUGCAAGGGAUGACGAAAAACUUUCCCGAGCUUUUCAUGAUGAUGAAAUUGAUGAAGGUAGAAAUCAAGAAAGAUCAUCAAGUGUUGAUGUUAACAAGACCACUAGUUUCAAGAAAAGGGCAAAGGGAAAGAAAGGGAACUUCAUGUAGAAUGGCAAGCAAGUUGUCACUCCCAUGAAGAAGCCCAAAGCUGGACCAAAGCCUAAAACUGAGUGCUUCUACUUCAAAAGAAAUGGUCACUGGAAGCAGAAAUGCCUUGAAUAUUUGGUGGAUAAGAAGGAUGGCAAAGUGAACAAGGGUAUAUUUGAUAUAUAGGUUAUUGAUGUGUACCUUACUAGUGUUUAUAGUACCCCUGGGUAUUUGAUAUUUGUUCGGUUGCUAAUAAUUAGUAACUCGAAACAGGAGUUAUAGAAUAAGCAGAGACUAGUUGAGGGUGAAGUGAAGAUGUGUGUUGGAAGUGGUUCCAAGAUUGAUAUGAUCAUCAUCGCACACUCCCUAUACUUUCGGGAUUAGUGUUAAACCUAAAUAAAUGUUAUUUGGCGUUUGCGUUGAGCAUGAAUAUGAUUUGAUCAUGUUUAUUGCAAUACGGUUAUUCAUUCAAAGUCAGAGAAUAAUUGUUGUUCUGUUUACAUGAAUAAAACCUUCGAUGGUCAUACACCUAAUGAAAAUAGUUUGUUGGAUCUCGAUCGUAGUGAUACACAUAUUCAUAAUAUUGAUGCCAAAAGAUGCAAAGUUGAUAAUGAUAGUGCAACUUAUUUGUGGCACUGCCGUUUGGAUCAUAUCGGUGUAAAGCGCAUGAAGAAACUCCAUAAAGAUGGACUUUUGGAAUCACUUGGUUAUGAAUCAUUUGAUGCUUGCGAACCGUGCCUUUUGGGCAAGAUGACUAAAACUCCGUUCUCCGGAACAGUGGAACGAGCUAUUGACUUGAUGGAAAUAAUACAUACUGAUGUAUGCGGUCCAAUGAGUGUUGAUGCUCGUGGUGGGUAUCGUUAUUUUCUGACGUUCACAGAUGAUUUGAGCAGAUAUGAGUAUAUCUACUUAAUGAAGCACAAGUCUGAAACAUUUGAAAAGUUCAAAGAAUUUCAGAGUGAAGUGGAGAAUCAUCGUAACAAGAAAAUAAAGUUUCUACAAUAUGAUCGUAGAGGAUAAUAUUUGAGUUACGAGUUUGGCCUUCAUUUAAAAACAAUGUGGAAUAGUUUCACAGCUCACGCCACAUGGUGUGUCCGAACGUCGUAACCGCACUUUAUUGGAUAUGGUGUGAUCUAUGAUGUAUCUUACCAAUUUACCACUAUCGUUUUGGGGUUAUGCAUUAGAGACAGCUGCAUUCACUUUAAAUAGGGCACCAUCAAAAUCCGUUGAGACGAUGCCUUAUGAACUGUGGUUUGGCAAGAAACCAAAGUUGUCGUUUCUUAAAGUUUGGGGCUGCGAUGCUUAUGUGAAAAAGUUUCAACCUGAUAAGCUUGAACCCAAAUCGGAGAAGUGCGUCUUCGUAGAAUACCCAAAGAAAACUGUUGGGUACACCUUCUAUCACAGUUCCGAACGCAAGAUAUUCGUUGCUAAAAUGGAUCCUUUCUAGAGAAGGAGUUUCUCUCGAAAUAAGUGAGUGGGAGGAAAGUAGAACUUGAUAAGGUAAUCGUCAGAUUUCGGGUUUCAGCAGACCCUUUAGGUUCGAACACUGGGGUGCGCGUGGAGAUCUCGCCCUCUACCUACCUGCACCUCGCCGCCUUGCUAGGAUCUAAGCUAUGAGCAAAGCAACACAAGGGACACAGAGUUUAUACUAGUUCGGGCCACCAUUGUGGUGUAAUACCCUACUCUAGUUUGUGGAGUGGUGGAUUGCCUCUUGGGCUGAUGAUGAACAAUACAAGGAAGAACAGCCUCACGAGUGUCUGUUCUUGGCUGGUGCGAUGAACUACUAGGGGGAGUUCAGUCGCUCUUUCUACUGGUUUCCUGGCGAUGAUCUGAUGCCUCUACCUUGUGGUGGCUAGUCCUAUUUAUAGGCAAAGGCCCUGGGCCUCUUCCCAAAUAUUGAGCGGGAAGGGCGCCAACAAUUGGCUAUUUUGAAGGGGAACAUCUAGUACACUUAUCCUGACUAAAGUUGGUCCUCGCCUGUCAAAGGCUCUGACGAUGACGCCUUCCUGGGCUCCACGAUGACUUCCUUCCUGCCGUUGCGAUGGUCUUGGUCUUGUUGCACCGAAAUGGAUGCCUUUGCUUGAUGCUCUCGCCUACGCUUGCUCCCUUUGCACCAAAGAGGAAAGGGAGGACACUGCGUGGGCUGGCGCCCGCCUGGCGCCCUUGGCCGUCAUGGCUUGUGUCAUGGGCACCUCGUGAGGUACCCCGCCUUGAUCUCUCCGCCUCCUCGCGAGCCAGCCUGACGAGGCCGUGCCUGAGGAAGCUUCCUGUCGUCCACCCCGCGAGGCUCGGCCCCUCGCGAGGGUCUUGAGCUUGCGCUGAUGAAGAUGGGCCAUGCUGGGCCGCCCCUUGAGCCAUGCCACAGGCCGCAGGCAGGCAAGUCUGGGGACCCCCGUUCCCAGAACACCGACAGUAAUUGUACCUUCUCCCGAAUUAGAAAGUAGUUCAUCACAGAAAUCAGUUCCAGUGAUUCCUACACCAAUUAGUGAGGAAGCUAAUGAUAUUGAUCAUGAAACUUCAGAUCAAGUUAAUACCGAACCUCGUAGGUCAACCAGAGUAAGAUCCGCACCAGAGUGGUACGGUAAUCCUAUUCUGGAGGUCAUGUUACUUGACCAUGGCGAACCUACGAACUAUGAGGAAGCGACGAUGAGCCCAGAUUCCGCAAAAUGGCUUGAGGCAAUGAAAUCUGAGAUGGGAUCCAUGUAUGAGAACAAAGUGUGGACUUUGAUGGACUUGCCCGACGAGCGGCAAGCCAUAGAAAAUAAAUGGAUCUUCAAGAGGAAGACAGAUGCUGAUGGUAGUGUUACUAUCUACAAAGCUCGACUUGUCGCAAAAAGUUUUUUAACAAGUUCAAGGUGUUGAAUACGAUGAGAUUUUCUCACUCGUAUCGAUGCUUAAGACUGUCCGAAUCAUGUUAGCAAUUGCCGCAUUUUAUGAUUAUGAAAUUUGGCAAAUGGAUGUCAAAAACUGCAUUCCUGAAUGGAUUUCUGGAAGAAGAGUUGUAUAUGAUGCAACCAGAAGGUUUUGUCGAUCCGAAAGGUGCUAACAAAGUGUGCAAGCUCCAGCGAUCCAUUUAUGGACUGGUGCAAGCCUCUCGGAGUUGGAAUAAAUGCUUUGAUAGUGUGAUCAAAGCAUAUGGUUUUAUACAGACUUUUGAAGAAGCCUAUAUUUACAAGAAAGUGAGUGGGAGCUCUGUAGCAUUUCUAAUAUUAUAUGUGGACGACAUAUUAUUGAUUGGAAAUGAUAUAGAAUUUCUGGAUAGCAUAAAAGGAUACUUGAAUAAAAGUUUUUCAAUGAAAUACCUCGGUGAAGCUGCUUAUAUAUUGGGCAUCAAGAUCUAUAGAGAUAGAUCAAGACGCUUAAUUGGACUUUCACAAAGCACUUACCUUGAUAAAGUUUUGAAUAAGUUCAAAAUGGAUCAAGCAAAGAAAGGAUUCCUGCCUGUGUUACAAGGUGUGAAGUUGAGUAAGACUCAAAACCCGACCAUGGCAGAAAAUAGAAAGAGAAUGAAAAGUCAUUCCCUAUGCCUCAGUCAUAGGUUCUAUAAAGUAUGCUAUGUUGUGUACCAAACCUAUUGUAUACCUUGUUCUAAGUUUGGAAAGGGAGUACAAUUUUGAUCUAGGAGUAGAUCACUGGACAACGGUCAAGAAUAUCCUUAGUGAGGACUAAGGAAAUGUUUCUCGAUUAUGAAAGUGAUAAAAGAGUUCGUUGUAAAUAGUUACAUCAGUGCAAGCUUUUACACCAAUCCAGAUGACUCUAAGUCUCAAUCUGGAUACAUAUUGAAAGUGGGAGCAAUUAGCUAGAGUAGCUCCGUGCAGAGCAUUGUAGAGAUAGAAUAUUUACAAAAUAAUACGGCUCUGAAUGUGACAGACCCGUUGACUAAACUUCUCUCACGAGGAAAACAUGAUCAUACCUUAGUACUCUUUGGGUGUUAAUCACAUAGCAAUUUGAACUAGAUUAUUGACUCUAGUAAACCCUUCGGGUGUUGGUCACAUGAUGAUGUGAACUGUGGGUGUUAAUCACAUACAGAUGUGAAUAUUGGUAUUAAAUCACAUGGUGAUGUGAACUAGAUUAUUGACUCUAGUGCAAGUGGGAGACUGAAGGCCCUAGAGGCAAUAAUAAAGUUAUUAUUUAUUUCCUUAUUUCAUGAUAAAUGUUUAUUAUUCAUGCUAGAAUUGUAUUAACCGGAAACUUAGUACAUGUGUGAAUACAUAGACAAACAUAAUGUCACUAGUAUGCCUCUACUUGACUAGCUCGUUGAAUCAAAGAUGGUUGUGUUUCCUAACUAUAGACAUGAGUUGUCAUUUGAUUAACGAGAUCACAUCAUUAGAGAAUGAUGUGAUUGACUUGACCCAUUUCGUUAGCUUAGCACUUGAUCGUUUAGUAUGUUGCUAUUGCUUUCUUCAUGACUUAUACAUGUUCCUAUGACUAUGAUAUUAUGCAACUCCCGUUUACCGGAGGAACACUUUGUGUGCUACCAAAUGUCACAACGUAACUGGGUGAUUAUAAAGGUGCUCUACAGGUGUAUCCGAAGGUACUUGUUGAGUUGGCGUAUUUCGAGAUUAGGAUUUGUCACUCCGAUUGUCGGAGAGGUAUCUCUGGGCCCUCUCGGUAAUGCACAUCACUAUAAGCCUUGCAAGCAAUGUGACUAAUGAGUUAGUUGCGGGAUGAUACAUUACAUAACGAGUAAAGAGACUUGCCGGUAACGAGAUUGAACUAGGUAUUGAGAUACCGACGAUCGAAUCUCGGGCAAGUAACAUACCGAUGACAAAGGGAACAACGUAUGUUAUUAUGUGGUUUGAGCAAUAAAGAUCUUCAUAGAAUAUGCGGGAACCAAUAUGAGCAUCCAGGUUCCGCUAUUGGUUAUUGACUGGAGACGUGUCUCGGUCAUGUCUACAUAGUUCUCGAACCCAUAGGGUCCGCACGCUUAAAGUUCGGUGAUGAUUUAUAUUAUGAGUUAUGUGUUUUGAUGUACCGAAGGUAGUUCGGAGUCCCGGAUGAGAUCGGGGACAUGACGAGGAGUGUCAAAAUAGUCGAGACGUAAAGAUCGAUAUAUUGGACGACUAUAUUCGGACAUCGCAAAGGUCAUGAGUGAUUCGGGUAUUUAUCGCAGUACCGGAGAGUUAUGGGAAUUCGCCGGGGAGUAUAUGGGCCUUAUUGGGCUUUAAGGGAUAAAGAGAGAGAGAGAGAGAGGCAGGCCGCGCACCCCCCAAGGCCUAGUCCGAAUUGGACUAGGGGGAGGGGCUGCGCCCCCUCCUUCCUUCUCUUCUCUUUUCCAUUUCCUUGACUUUUACUCCUACUACAUGGAAGGGGGGGAUCCUACUCCCGGUGGGAGCAGGACUCCCCAGGGCGCGCCAUAGAGAGGGACAGCCCCUCCUCUCCUCUCCUCCUUUAUAUACCGAGGCUAGGGGCACCCCAUGUCACACAAGUUGAUCUAUUGAUCUCUCCCAGCCGUGUGCGGUGCCCCCUCCACCAUAUUCCACCUUGGUCAUAUCGUAGCGGUGCUUAGGAGAAGCCCUGCGUUGGUAGCAACAUCAUCAUCAUCAUCACGCCGUUGUGCUGACGGAACUCUCCCGUGAAGCUCUACUGGAUUGUUGUUCGCGGGACGUCAUCGAGCUGAACGUGUGCUGAACUCGGAGGUGCCGUACGUUCGAUAAUUGGAUCGGUCGGAUCGUGAAGACGUACGACUACAUCAACCGCGUUGUGCUAACGCUUCCGCUUUUGGUCUACGAGGGUACGUGGACUCACUCUCCCUGCUCGUUGCUAUGCAUCACCAUGAUCUUGCGUGUGCGUAGGAUUUUUUUGAAAUUACUACGUUUCCCAACACGCGGACAGGAGGACUGGAUUGACGGUGCUGGAGGGGAUAAGGUUUGGAAAGGCGGCAGAGGAGCGAGUGGCGACGGAGCUACGAGAAGGCUAGAGCGGAGGAGGUAAAAGUAAGGAGAGGAGCAAAGGGAAUCAGUAGGUUGGAGGGUGGAUUUGAUGCAAUUUAGAGCAGGAUAGGACUGUCGGGUCCGACAAGGCAGACGCGUUGAUGUCUACUACACAACCUUCUUCUUGUAGACGUUGUUGGGCCUGCAAGUGCACAGGUUUGUAGGACAGUAGCAAAUUUCUCUCAAGUGGAUGACCUAAGAUUUAUCAAUCCGUAGGAGGCGUAGGAUGAAGAUGGUCUCUCUCAAACAACCCUGCAACCAAAUAAAAAAGAGUCUCUUGUGUCCCCAACACACCCAAUACAAUGGUAAAUUGUAUAGGUGCACUAGUUCGGCGAAGAGAUGGUGAUACAAGUGCAAUAUGGAUGGUAGAUAAAAGUAUUUGUAAUCUGAAAUUAUAAAAACAUCAAGGUAACUAAUGAUAAAAGUGAGCACAAACGAUAUUGCAAUGAUAGGAAACAAGGCCUAAGGUUCAUACUUUCACUAGUGCAAGUUCUCUCAACAAUAAUAACAUAGAUAGAUAAUAUAACAAUCCCUCAACAUGCAACAAGGAGUCACUCCAAAGCCACUAAUAGCGGAGAAGAAACGAAGAGAUUAUGGUAGGGUACGAAACCACCUCAAAGUUAUCCUUUUUGAUCUAUCUAUUCAAUUCAAGAGCUCGUAGUAAAAUAACAUAAAGCUAUUCUUUCCGCUCAAUCCAUCAUAGAGUUCAUACUAGAAUAACACCUUAAGACACAAAUCAACCAAAACCCUAAUGUCACCUAGAUACUCCAUUGUCACCUUAAGUAUCCGUGGGCAUGAUUAUAAGAUAUGCAUCACACAAUUUCAUAUUCAUCCAACCGACAUAAAGUACUUCAAAGAGUGCCCCAAAGUUUCUACCGGAGAGUCAAGAAAACGUGUGCCAACCCCUAUGCAUAGCUUCAUGAGCGGAACCCGCAAAGUUGGUCACCAAAACAUACAUCAAGUGGCACGUGAUAUCCCAUUGUCACCACAGAUAAGCACAACAAGACAUACAUCAAGUGUUCUCAAAUAAAGACUCAAUCCGAUAAGAUAACUUCAAAGGGGAAACUCAAUCCAUUACAAGAGAGUAGAGGGGGAGAAACAUCAUAAGAUCCAACUAUAGUAUCAAAGCUCGGGAUACAUCAAGAUCGUGCCAUAGAGGGAACACGAGAGAGAGAGAGAGAGAGAGAGAGAGAGAGAGAUCAAACACAUAGCUACUGGUACAUACCCUCAGCCCCGAGGGUGAACUACUCCCUCCUCGUCAUGGAGAGCGCCGGGAUGAUGAAGAUGGCCACCGGUGAUGGGAUCCCCCUCCGGCAGGGUGCCGGAACGGGCUCCCGAGAGGUUUUUGUUGGCUACAAAGGCUUGCGGCGGCGGAUCUCCCGAUCUAUCUUGAUAUUCGAUGGUUUUAGGGUACGUAGACUUAUAUAGGCGAAAGAAGUCGGUCGGGAGGUGCUCGAGGGGCCCACGAGACAGGAGGGCGCGCCCAGUAGAGGGGGCGCGCCCUCCUAUCUCGUGGCCUCCUCGAGGCUCUUUUGACGUGAACUCCAAGUCUCCUGGGUGAUAUUCUUCCAAAAAAUCACGCUGCCGAAGGUUUCGUUCCGUUUGGACUCCGUUUGAUAUUCCUUUUCUUCGAAAUACUGAAACAGGCAAUAAAACAACAAUAUGAUCUGGGCCUCCGGUUAAUAGGUUAGUCCCAAAAAUGAUAUAAAAGUGUAAAGUAAAGCCCAUAAACAUCCAAAAGGGGUAAUAUAAUAGCAUGGAACAAUAAAAAAUUAUAGAUACGUUGGAGACGUAUCAGCGCUCAGGACUCCCCAUGUCCGCCCCAGAUUUGGGCUGGAUAUGAGAGGUGUCAGUCAACCAGGGCAUUGAGGCGCCUGUCCGGAUCAGUGUUUUUUUGACCGGUCACAUACUAGGUCGUCCGCCCGAGCGUUUGAGGGGAGGGGGUUGAGGCGUCCGACUGUAGGUGCUCUUAUGUCCUUACUAAAGAAAAUUUGUUGGUCGAUCGAUUCACAGUAUUGGAAUCCUUAGAAUAUUUCCUUAGGAAUCAUUUGCACUAUAUCUUAAAAAACUAUCCACUCAAACUUCUUUAUAGAAUUUCUUUGUUUUUUUUGCAUUCAUCCAGUUUCUUGUAGUUUUCUUCUACUAUAUAAUUCAAGAACACAUGCACUUAAAUCCUUUUUUUCUUCUUAUUUAUGUGUUUUGAGAAUUACGUGGAUUAAAGAGGCCUGAUGUCACUUCUGGUGGUGCCUUACGCAGCCACUUCACCCCCAUAGAAAUUGGGGUUCCUUUAGCUCCCUCUGGCGCUGUCGCCGGUCCGCCUUAUCUUCGGUGGCCUUACGGUCAUGGGGCACGGUGAAUCAUGACCCUUGCCGGUGGGAGGGCUUUGUUUUUAGAUGUUUCUUUGAGUUUUGUCAGAGUUUGUAGCCUGCUUAGGAAGGCGAAAUGACGACAGCUCCCUGGAGAUGUAAUAAGGUUCUCCCUGCAUGGUCCCGUCCUGAUGAUGCGUCUAGCAUCAUUGGUGGGCGUGUGGAGGUGUGUCUCAUGUAGAUUUGUCUUUGGUGGAUUUGCUCGGAUCUGGUUAUCGUCCGUCUACGUUUGUGUGUUUUUAGUUUGGAUCCUUCCGAUCUAUAUUAUUCUUCAUCGGCAUCUGCUGUUUUAUGGUGCGUUGGUCCUAUGGGGACUUAGCAUGACAAUUUUUCGACUGUCUACUACAACAAGUUUUGACCGGCACCGACCGGGGGAGGGGGAGGGGGCGAUGAUGGGCUCGCUUUAGUGCUUGUAUUUGUCGCUAGAUGGUGUACGGAUCUGGAUGUAUUUUUUAUUGUUUUCGGUCUUUGUUGUACUGCCAUAAUUGAAGAUUAACAGGUCGGAAGUUUUUCUGCAAAAAAAAGGCUUGAUGUCGCCAACAAUAUAGGGUUGACAAAUCUUCUUGUGCAAAAGUGGAUGACCUUCUUAUACGAACUAGUAAAUUUGUACGUGCGAAGCACGUUGAUUUUAGAGAACAUAUUAAUUGCACGUGAAUAUUAGAUAAGAUAUUAUUUGCGUGUAAAUUAUAUAAUUAGCAGUGUAAUUGAUAUUUGAUAUGAUAUUAACUACCCGCUAAAUGUGUCUAGCGCUCAUCAUUGGAUCAACCUAAGUCGUUGGAUCGACCUGGAUUGAUGGUCGAGAUUUGUUGAAUCUGCACCCUUGGAUCUUUUACAUUGAUGUAUAGAUAUAUAACGGGAUUUAAUAAUGCGUAAAGGUGUCCAUCUACAAGACAAUAAUAGUGUGUUGGUUUCAGGGGAAUUAGAGAUGGGGAAUGGGAGUUUAGGGGUGAGGAGAUUAAAAGUCUACUAUUUGAUUAGAGGGAAUGGGAGUUUAAAUGGGAAGGGGAAGAGGAGUUUAAAUGGGAAGGGAAGUGGGUGUUUAAAUGGGAAUGAGAGUUGAGGAAGUCAAUUCCCACCAAUUUCAUCCGUAGGGUACCCUGUUAAUUCGUGAACAGAAUUUUAUCCCACGCCAAUUUCUAUCAUAUGUCAAACAAGGGAAUGGGAGUAAAAAUCUACUUUCCAUGCUUAAUCCCUUCAUAAACAUCCUUGUGCAAACUCACAUUCCCCUGCCGAGUGUUUACCAAACAGGCUGUAACAUCUCUUCUCACUGAAUGUGCAUCGCUGAAAAUCUUGAAAUAAAUUCAAAAUAAAUGUGAGCAUCAGGGCUUGAACCUUGAUGGGUUGGAAUAUCACUGUCCUUCUAACCAUUCAAUUACAGCUUGAUUCGCAACAAAAAAACAAUUUGGGGAUAAAAGAAUGUGCUAUCUUGGGCCAGACCUUGAAACAUCUAUAACGUUUGGAAUAGUAGAUUUUUUGCUUAUAGGACCACGUACGAUGAUGCAUGUUAUUACAGGAGUGUCAUAUAGAAUAAAUGAUAAGACAAAAAAGAUUAUUUUUCUCUUAGUUAAGAGAUGAUCUCUUAAGAACAAUAUAACACAACACAUAUUUAGAUAUCCUAAUUAUAAGCGAAAGGACUAAAGUUUAAUUAAAUUUCACGUUUUUAUUGUCUUUUUAUUUUGAGAAACACAUGUAACUUUAUUCAUAUCUUCUAUAUCUAAAUAGCUUAGCCCGCACUAACCUAUUUCUCUCAACAUGCAAGCAUACCACCUCAUUACAUAAUAUGCGUGGGAAAAAGGCCCACCUCCAUCAACUUAUUCUUUCAACAUGCAAGCAUGCCACAUUAUUAAGCAACAUGUAUAGAUAAAGACUCACCUCAACAUGCAAACAUACUUGAGAAUUUUCAUUUCAUUAUGUUAUUUAUAUUUAAUAAAUAUUUUACAACUGAAUCAAACACAAUAAUUAAUAUGUAUUAUCAAAUUUAGCUCUUAUAUAUGUUUUAUUACUGAAAAUAUUCAUGUUUCAUGUGGUGAAUCUACUACCACUAUAAAAGAGAGAGGGUGGAAAACCAGACAAUCCUAUCCAUCGAAACCUGCGAUCUAAUGGUCUACAUCACUCCAGCAUACUAAACAUGUUUUACACUUAAAUUACCCACCAAUGCCAUUACUUAAUUAUUUACUGAUCAUUGCCAUUAGAUUAAAAUCGAUCCCGACCACGUCGCUUCCCUCUCGCAACAAGCACCACCCCACGUCGCUCCCCCGACCCCCCACCCCUCGCCCGCCCUCUUGCUGCUGUAGCCGCGCCGGAGAACCGCCGUGCGCCACGCCCCGCCGCGCCGUCCGGAGAACCGCAGCGCGCCGUGCCUCCCUCCCGCGCCACGCCCCGCCGCGCCGUCCGGACCCGCGCCGCCGCGCCGGCCACCGCCUCGACCGCCGGGACCGCCGCGCCCGACCGGGCCGCCGCGCCUCCCGCGCGCCAGCGGCCCCUCGCCGCGCCGUCCGCACCAGCUUUGGCAGUCUUCCAACCCUUUGUCAAUCUUCCAGCUUUGGCCGUCCGCGCCAGGUCAGUCUUCCAACCCUUGGUCAGCCAUCCGUUCCUCCAGUUCCUGCUUGUAAUGUGUAGUAUAUCCUUUGAUAAGGGUUACAGCGAGGGCGAUUUCAGUGUAUACUGCCAUAUUGAUAAUAGUGAGGUUGAUAAUAAGGUUGAUUUCAGUUCCUGCCCCCCUUCAACUUGAUUGAUAAUACUGCCAUACAAUCUGAACCAUGCAAAUUCAGUGUAUGUGUUGUCCAAUUUUCAGUGUUCUGUUGUCUAAAUAUUCAGUUUUGGUGUUAUCCAAAUUUCAGUGCAUAUGCAGUCUAAAUUUUAGUUUAUAUUUCAGUGCAUAUGCAGUCUAAAUUUUAGUUUAUAUGCUGUCCAAAUUUCAGUGUACUUCCCCUGCUAAAUUCAGUGUAUGCUCCAGCCGUGCCUCCCGCGCUGCAGCGCCGUCCGCACCAGCGCCGCCGCGUCGUUCGCUUUCUUUUCUUGCACUCGCGAACCCGAUAUAAUAAGGCAUCCAAAAAACUCUAGCAUGUAAUUGACCACUGUUCAUCCGAGCCAUGGCUCGUUUUGAAUGCAUAAGGUAGAAAUCGGCCUACCUUUUACUUAAGAAAAAAAGAUUUUCCAAUGCAACCUCCCUAGCUUUAACUGUGAUGUGGCCAUUCUGUUCAAGUUGUGCUACGAGUUGGCUCUUUUGGCUGAAUUCAUUAGAUGCUUCACUUGAAGGAAGGGCGUAUGCUUUGUGCCCUUGUUUGUAUUUGGUUUUCUGCAUAUUGCCUGACGUUCUAUAACUAUCUUCAGGAGGAUCUUUGGCUGUCGGCUUUUCCUAUAGGGACAGAGGUUUGUGCGCAUUCAUGUUUUUGUUUUCAAUCACACGCAAACAUGCAUAAUACUUCCCUGUCAUACACAUUUGGCCUUACUUUUAAUGCUGGUUUCAUCUGCAGUGGGAAAAUAUUGAUAAGAUUAAGGAGUUCAACUGGAACUUUGAAAAUUUAGAGGUAUGAUGAAUAUAUAAUCUUCAAAUUUCCCCUUAAAUAUGAUGUUUCCUUGCAUUGUAAUACAUUCUUUAUUUUUGGUGAACAGAAAGCUCUAGAAGAAGGGGGGGAAGCUGUAUGGGAAUACGGUCUAUGUAUUUGGCAGCACUGAGCGUAAGUAGUAUUUUAGCACUGGCUGGCUGACGGUCUAUGUAGCUCUAUAUUAUCCUUUAGAGCUAUUUGACAACACUUUAUUAGUACUGAAAAAUUCCCUGAGCAUCCCUGUAGAUUACAUGGAUUUAUAUAAUUUGUCUAAUGGGUUUAUUUCUGUUGCUAUGCAGCUCAACUGUUGAAUGUUGAUGGUGAAUCAAAGAUAGUGCUUAUUCCAGUUGUAGUUGCGGUCAGUUUCCUUCCAUUCCUUUUACCUGAUAAUUUAUCUCCUCAUUUUCUUUGGUAUUCUAUUUUAUAUGCAAAUUCGUCGAUGCGAGACUUGGACCAUGAAUUUCCUUCAGUUGCUUAUUUUGUAGUAGUAUACUCCUUUGUGACAAUCAAGAAUAUGCUAGCCGUAUUGCCAGCAUUAUAUGUAUAUACUCCAUAUGGUAGUAUAUACUCUGAGAAUUGGUGUAUAUACCUUAUUUGUAAAAUAGUAUGUAUAUACUUCUUGCUAACUACUCUGUAUUAUCAUGGUGGGUUAAAUAGUUUUUGGUCUUCUAACUCUCUAGGAUAAUUAGCAUCUUUGUGAGCCUUUUUCAGAUUAAAAUAACCUAUUGAUUUGAUCAAUAGAAUAGAUCUCUCUUUUUAAAUAGUGGUAGUUUCUCCAAAGUUCUACUAAUUUAAUUCAUUAUUUUGGUAUCCAGAUCCAAUAGCCUUGCUGUUUAUAUCUUCUUCUAAUAAAUCAAUUUACAGUGCCACAGUUAAAUAAGAUGCAAAUUCAUGUAUUGCUCGAAUUUCAAUCCUGCACUUUAUCUAUGUUGCUUGCUCUGAACUCUGUAAAAGGUACAUUGCACAUGCUGUUCACCUCUUUCUGUACUUUGUUGGUUCUUCUUAACAUUUGUGUUUUUCCUAUAAGAUGGCGAAGAGUAAUCCAGACAAAGUUCCACGAACGACUACGCAUCGUUCCCCAUUUACAGACAUAACGAACUCGUCUACCAUUGAUAACGCAAAUGUCACUACUAAUAGCCAGGGACUAUUUUGAAUAUUUACAUGUAAAGUAUCCAUCCUUUUUUCUGUAUACCUUUCGUGUUUUUUCUUCUAACAUCAGCACUUCAGCAGAAGAUGUCGUAAACCGUGUAAUGUGGCAACACCAAGAAGGCCACCAUCAAGGCGAAGCUGCAAACAUGCAGAGCAGGUCUUGACUCCAGACCUAUUUGUCAUUCAUUCACAGAGGCAAUAAAUAUUAUCUUAGUAAUUUGAGAUUUUCAAAUAUGAUGCCUCAAUUUAUAAGUUUGUUGCAUGUAACAUCCUUUUUUAUUUAAAAAGUUUGGCUUGGCUUCUCAUUAUGGUUUUGGUGCUUAUAUUAUUCUUACACAAGCCAGUUUCACCUGAAUUUAUCAUACAACCUAGAAUUAAUUAGAGCCCUGUUCUUGAUCCUUACUUAAUGCAACUGAAAAAAAAGGUUCUGCUGUGUGUUCACAUUAAUUCAGAAAUUGUAUGUAUCAAUCGACUGCAUCCGAUGUUGUGCUUCUCAUGUUCCCUUGAAAGGAUUGCUGGAUGGAAAGAUGUUUUUGCUUUCAGGAUUUCUGGUGUGUGUACGACCCUCUAAAUAACUCUCUUUCAUCUCAUGCAGCAGCAGAGGCUUAGAGGAAGGCGCUGCAGCGUGGAUGCACAUGGGAUGUUGCAGGUUAAAGUCCUUUUAGUUUGUUGAUAAUUUCUCUGAUGUAGAUUGGAAGUUAUAUAUUAAGAAAUAGAUUUUAAUGUGUAUAUGGUGUGGAUUCCAAAACUAAUCUGCCUGUACUGAAAAGUUCCCUUGUACUAGAAUUUUCCUGAAGCUAAUGGAAUUACCUUGUGCUUGCAUGAUGACUAUUUUUUCAAGAUACAUGUAACAAAGAGGAGGAGCUCAGGGAGCUGAGUGUGAAAGGAUAAAGGAGUCAGGAAGGAGAAAUCAUAUGUUGGCUUAAUUAAUGCUUCCUAAUCAGUAUGCUUUCCAUAUUGCCGUUUAUUGAACUAAUAUAGUUUGCUUUUGAUUAAGGAUCUUGACAUGGCAUGCCGUUUUUGAUUUUCUGUAGCUUUUGUUGAUCUUCUCCUUGUUCGGCUUAAAUUUCUCAUUGUUUUUCCUAUUCCUUUGCAGGAACAUGAACCUGAUGAUGACCCAUAGGUGGAUGUCUGUGAGAGGUACAUGUGUUAGCUCAUAAGCGUAUGAGAAUACAAUCAUGAUGUGUAUAAUUAUUCAGUUAUACUUUUUAUCCAUGCCUCAACAAUCGACCAAAUUAAACGACAGGAUGAACAUUCAGACUUUAUUGAUGACAGGGAUUCUAGGAAGACCAUUACAUACUCGACCAGCCCACCUGUCAUCGCAAGACAAGCUAAAAGUAAAGCAACAUAAAAAUUGUUAGCCUUCCCAAAGGCGAAUUUCUGCACAACAUUCUGGGAAUUCACCUAUUUGUAUCCGUACAUUUUCACCUUGACUAUAAGUGGAAAGGUUUGCUAUAUUUAUUUAACUAUCAUUCUGCCGUCGCUGACCAUCAUUAUUCGGCCGUAAUCCCGGCGUCCUCCUAGCAUCACCCUGCUGUGCCCCUGGCCAAUUGCCUAGAGAUGCCAUCCAAGCGCGUGUGGCUGCAAAAGUGCUUCAUAUGAUGAAAGAUGGUAUCAUUGACCCAGUGAAAAUGAUCCAAACUGUACUUCAAGGUGCAGCAAGGUACAACUUCAGUUCUCUAACCAUGUACUUUAUGUAUGACCAUGACAGAAGUAAUCAGAGUUGUUUGACUAUUUGUGCUUCUGUAGUUCUGUACAAUGUUUAUCCGCUGAUCACAACCAUAGAGGUUGCAGAUGAGCAAAAUGGGUUUUGAGGACAGUGCGGCAUUGUGUUUGCACUUGUUUUGAUAGAAUGGAAUGCAUGUCUCAUAUGACCAGUUCUAAGAAAUACAAGCAUAGUUUGAGGUAAACUAGCCAGAAAACUAAGGUUACUUUUAAGUAAGGAUAGGGCCAUGGAUUACAUGAUUGCUUUUCAAAACACAACAUCAGAUGUAGUUGAGCACACCGCUUCGGUUGGUGGAAGUUUGAACUUCGUAUUCAUAUUAAUCCAUGUAUAAGUUUACUGACGGUAAUUGUUUCAUCUGAUGGUACUGCUAUUGUGUCACAAAGAACAAGUACUCUGAUGAUGCCUCACAAAGAAAAAGUUCUUACGACAAUAAACUGAUGUUGACUAUUGUUGGGGGAGGUGAGGAUGCCGAUGAAAAGAGAAGAGUUUGUCUUCUGUCCGAUAGGAUUUGGUUGUAAAUCUUUGUUCAUUACUUCAGGUGUGCAUUGAGCGUACAUGAUCUGCUCAAAAAAACAAAUUGAUUGGCAAGUUUUGAUUAUAUCUAAAGAAGGACAUGGGCAAUGCUCGAUUGGCAAGUUUGGAUUAUAUCUAAAGAUCGACAUGGACAAUGCUCGAUUGACAAAUUUUGAUUUUUUUUUCUUGCUAGAAAUGAUACCAACACAAGUGCUUAGCAUGAUAAAUAUGUUCGCCUAUAUUCUGAGUGGAAGUUAGAUGGAUUUUUUGGGUACAUUAGUCGACCUCUCAGUUGAUAUUUUAUAUUACUAGUUAAUUGUCUGCAACGGGGCCAUAAAUAUUUGUACACGCACAAUUUUUAUUUGAGAGCCGCAUAUGUUCUUUUGUUGAUUCUAUUUAAAUAUAAAUAUUUCUUUAGAGCGGUCGUUCCCCUACUCCAUGGAUCUGUGGCACUCAAAGGAGUUGAUUGAAAUGAUGGCGUGAAACAUAAAAAAGACUCCGGAAAGUAGGGCUUGUGAGAAAAUAAUCAGAUUACAAGGACCUGGAUAAAUGUUGAACGUUCGGAUUCUAAGCAUGUCAUCCCGAAAUGUUUUUAUGGCAACUUUAUUGACGCGAGGUGGCAACUUUACUUGCUAAAAAAAUGGCAAAUUUAUCUUCAUUUAGUUUUUUUGUCAGAAAAUUGUUAUGUUUGCCAAUCUCGCUUGAACUAAAAUUAUCAUGAAAACAUUCAGGUUGCUAUGCGCAAAAAUUCGAGCGUUCUGGAUUUAUCAUUUUCGUACAAGAAUGGAUGAAUAGUGCUUGUACCUAAGUACUUGAAUAUGUUCUUUAAGAUUCAUAUAAAUAAGAAGGCUAUGGCUUCAAAUAAGAACGCAAUAACUUUUUAGGUGAAAAAUGGAUCUUACCAGCACAACAAUUCAUUUGAAAUAGUUAUUUACUACUACUAUAAGAUUACCCAUUUACAUACACAUAUAAAUUUUCACAUAAUAAUCGUAAGUCGAGACGUGCGUUGCACGUGCAUGCUUACUAGUCUCAUUGAAAAUGUUGUAAAAUACUCCCGCAACAACGUACGGGGUAUCAUCUAGUACUGAUAACAAUAGGACACUGAAUUGGACCUAAGAUCUAAGAAAACACAAAGUAACUCCUAUGAUUAAGAAUUACAAUGCAAUCUCUUGAAAACACCUUUUUUGCGGUAUCAGUCUCUGCUUGAGAAAAUACUCCAAAAACUUCGGUAAAAAUGUUGUAAUUGGAUCGAAGCAACGAUGUUUUCACCCUUUCAUCCACACGAACAUUAAAAAUAACCAUAAGCCACGUGUCGAGCACCGAAAAAUGCAUCGGCAUUGAAUGGACAGUGAAGGCUACGUUCAGAUGGUUCUUAUGUCGAGGAUGGAUCGGCGGGCGCUGGUAUGGUGUUAAGAGAUGACAAGGGUGCUAUCAUUUUCUCUUCGUGCAGACAACUCUUUUUUUGUCGAGAUGCGCUUAAAACUGAAUUAUAUAUGUACAUGCAUGGAAGGACUAUCGUUCGCCAUUCAAAGAAGCGACUUGCCAAUAAGGAUCGAGAUGGAUUCACUUAUUGCUGUGAAACUGAUCCAAGCUAAGGACGUUGAUAAACCGAUCUACUCAUCGCUCACUAUGGAGAUUAGAUAUCUUAUGUCUUUUCAUGAAAUAUGUAUUACUUAUAUAAGUUGUAACUAAAAUAAAGUUAGCGAUAGCAUAGCAAAUUUGCUCGUUUAGGGGCAAGAAUCAUGACUUGGCUUGGUUCCGGUCCUCAUGUUGCUAUCGACCUUGCUGGGAUCGACUGUAAAGACCUUUUGAUUUGAGUAAUGCAUGUUUUUCAAAAAAAAAAAAAAGAAUGGACGGUGAAGUCGACCGUACACAGGGUCGACAAAAAUAUCCUAAAUCGACAGCAACCAUGGCGGGAAGUCGGCAAGAGCAAGACCCUCUGUACCGACGCGUGUGCCGACCAUGAUAGCUCCUCUAGACUAUGUCGCACCGACGCGUGCACAGAGGGACCACUGACACAUCGGUCCCACGCGACAGAGGCUCCCGCCUCCCUGGUAAACCGCAGCCCCGCUACGCACACGCGGCAAAGCUACACCGGAACCGCAUUCGCAGCGCGCUUUCGUCGCCGCCAGCACCACCACGCCUCCUCAACCUCCCAUGGUGGUUGCCCCCCGAGCCGCACGCCCCAACCACCCCUAACCCUAGAUCCCGCCACACUCACCCCCGCACACGCACACGCACUCUCACUCUCCCACUCGGCCUGCUUGUCACUAUGGAGGCCGGGAGCAGCAAGGCCAGGCUGGCGGUGGCGUGCGCGAUCGGCGGGAUCGUGCUGGGCGCGGCCGUCGUGGCGCUCCACGUCGCCGGGCCCGUGGCCGUCCCGGGGCUGCCCCCGCUCGACGCGCUGCGCCGCCGGUUCCACCGCCGCCGCCGCCCCGUGCGCGUCUACAUGGACGGCUGCUUCGACAUGAUGCACUACGGCCACUGCAACGCGCUGCGCCAGGCGCGCGCGCUCGGCGACCAGCUCGUCGUCGGCGUCGUCAGCGACGACGAGAUCACCGCCAACAAGGGACCGCCCGUCACGCCGCUCAACGAGAGGUGGGUCGUUAAUUACCCCAUCCCUUUAUGUAGCGGCUGUCGCCUUUUUAACUCACACACGUGGUGAGGUGUUCUCACGCGUCCGCACAGCUUGCUCCAGCAUUUCAUUACGUUUUUUGUUUUGUAUUUUAAGUUUUUAACCCCUGGCCAAGUAGAUGCUACGAUGUCAACGCUUGAGCUAUGUUUGCCUAGAUGUUGCUGGAGAAACAAUUGCUGCACGGCACGAGAGAUUUGAAUUGUACAAUUUGUGUUCCAUUUAUGAUAUUAAAUGGAUUUAUGGGCAUUGGAUAGACUGUGAUAAUGCGCUAAAUAUCCGAAUCUUAAAUGUGUGUGCAAAUUAUGUAGCACUACUUUACUUACAUUUUUUCCACCUCCCAUUAAUUAUCCUAUAAACUCUCAUGUAACUAACGCUGUGGGUAGUAAGAAUCUGCAAUUUGUUAUUUCUAAUCUUUCCUUUUCUGUGUAAUACAGAAUGGUGAUGGUGGGCGCAGUGAAAUGGGUGGAUGAUGUCAUUCCAGAUGCGCCAUAUGCCAUAACUGAAGACUUCAUGAACAAGCUAUUCACUGAGUAUAAUAUAGAUUACAUCAUCCAUGGCGAUGAUCCUUGUCUACUCCCAGAUGGCACCGAUGCAUAUGCCCUUGCCAAAAAUGCUGGCAGAUAUAAGCAGAUUAAAAGAACUGAGGGAGUGUCAACAACAGACAUUGUCGGUAUGGACUCUGCUUUUGUUUUCUGUUUCUGUAUCUACUGUUAACGUUUGCUUUACCAUAACAAAAUCAAUUAUCUUUGAGAACCAAAUCUUAUAGUGAUCUCCAAUAUUGCAAUUGAUUCUUGAUCAACUAGAGACCUAUUUGUUCAUGAGACUAUCAUUCACUAGAUUUUCUUUCUCGAUUUCUUGUGGUGCUCCACUUUUAUAAAGCACUCGAAAUAGUGCCAUAUUAUUAAGAGCACAAGGAAGGAACAAUCGAAUAAGUUGUCGCCAAGAGUCACCCCUUUCUUGUUCCGGGCAUCAGAUCCAACAUAAAGUUGCUGCUAUGUGAUUAUUCUAUUUACUGGCCAGGAUGCUAUGGUCGCAUGGAAUACACAUUUAUCUUGAAUUUUGGGAACCGGUGAAUUGAUCAUCUAUAGUAAAGAAACUGCUUGUGGCAGCGAAAAUAUUUAUUCUCACUGUGAAAUCAUCUUUUUUCAUUGCAGGAAGAAUGCUUCUUUGUGUUAGAGAGAGAUCAGUUUCUGAUAGGCACAACCACUCUUCACUACAGAGGCAGUUCAGUUCUGGGCAUGGUCAGAAGAUUGAUGAUAGUGGGUCUGGAAGUGGAACUAGAAUAUCUCAUUUUCUUCCUACAUCUCGGCGGAUAGUUCAGUUCUCAAAUAGCAGGGUAUAACUUUCUCAUGAAUUGAAUAUUGUUUAUGUUCUUUGAUGAAUAUUCUACGAGGCACCACAGCAUGGUUUAGCAGUUGGCACCUAGUCUUGAUCUUAGAAGCAACUUCUAGGUAUCGCCAUCUAUAUUAGUCCCUCUGAAAACGACACUUUUUUCAUGGUGGGAUUGUGUGAGAGUGCUACCUUGAGUUCCUCUUGUAGUUCAAAUGCAUGUGCUAAAUAUCCGAUGACAGAUAUUUAACUUCCUGGAACGUCAGUUUUUUUGUAUGUUCAUGUAGUUAUUGGACAUAAUAAAGAUACAUUCUUCGGUGGGAGGGAGUACAGAGCGCCUGCUCUACUGUUAACUUGUGCCCUGUCGAUUAGUCGAUUGUGACCUAAUUGCGGAAGUGUGGCAGCAAUAGAUGAAUUGUUUAAUAGUACUUCGACAAGUUCAGAGGCAAUUGUCGCAUCCACAAUAAAAAAUCCAAUGCUUAAAGUAUCAGAAAAAACCCGUAUGUUUGUUAUUCAGUUAUCUAUUACAUGAGCAUACAGUGUAACUGUAUGUUUGUUUCAUUUCUGUAAAUGUGGUGAUAAUAAGUGCUUUUUAACUGAAUAAAACCGUUUCCCUCUUUCCAAACUUUUGCUACAGUUCAUUCUGUGUUGACUGUAAGCUUUACCAAUGUAGGGCCCAGGACCAGAUUCUCGGAUAGUUUACAUAGAUGGUGCAUUUGAUCUGUUCCAUGCUGGGCAUGUUGAGGUAAAUACAAGAAGGAAAACAUCAUCUGUCUCAGCAUUCAGCCGCACUUCCCAUAUUUGCAUGUUGGCUCUACUUCUAUUUUUUCUUCUUAUUGCAAGGAAGCAAUCAAGCAAACGGAACUUUCCUUUCCAAAUCAUAGCACUGCAAACUUUCUUUUGUAUUUAUAGUUUCUUCUACGUAGAUAUUGCGACUUGCUCGAGGGCUUGGAGAUUUCUUGCUUGUUGGUAUUCACACGGAUCAGACCAUAAGGUAAUAUACGAUGGUUGCUUCCUCUUUUAUUUUUCCAUUCCUUUAUGAGGUACAGUAUGUGUACGGUUUAUUCAAUUGUCCAAGUUUACAAUGUGCAUUUGUUUUGAAGCCUACCAUCUCUACUCAGUUCAUUCAACAUUAUAUUCAGUCUAGAUUUUGCUGUUGAUGUUUAUCAUAUUGGUUAGUUCUACACGAGGACCACAUCGCCCAAUCAUGAAUCUUCAUGAGCGAAGUUUGAGUGUCCUAGCCUGCCGUUAUGUUGAUGAAGUAAUCAUUGGUGCUCCAUGGGACAUUUCAAAAGACAUGGUGAGUUGUAAUUGUCUACUCUACUCUAAACCAUGACAUUAUCUUAUUGUAGUAUAAGAUGCUUGAUGUAUUCGUUAUACUAUUUCCUUGAACACUGCACUUAGGCUACUCAUUGAGUGCCCACACUCUGCUAAGGAUAAGAAACAUGUAUCCUAGUAUGUCGAGCUGUCUUUGUAAGGCUCGGUCAGUCUGCCUUCUCCUCAGCCUCACCUAUGCUGGGCUCUGCCUGAGCAGCUGUGCUUGGCCUACACACCGUGUCAGUGGCUUUGCUGCUGCGCCUGGUUGCGCUUCAAUGUGAUACUUGUCAUGAUUUGUGUUGAAGUAUUUAUUUGCUGAGAGUUGUUUUUUCUUCCAAAAUAGUCUUCUAGUUCUUUAAAGGAGGUAGAAACAUAGAAUAGGGAGGUGGGAGGGGUGAAUAAACCACCGUCAUUAUUGUAGCCACUGACACUGCUACCACCAACUCUACUGUUUGUAGUACCAAUUACUAAACAGAUACACACAUUGUAUAGAACAUGACACUUACGCUGUGCCAAUAAAACUCACAAUUCCACAUGAGGUAUUAAAUUUUGAUUUUAAUACGUGCUGGCUUGACUUGGUCCCAAGUUUUUUUUUCACAAGAUAGCAUAGUUAAAGUCAGUAGACAUUCUUUCUUUCUUGGCUUGGUCCCAAAGUUUAGUUAUGUCAGCUAGGUUUGAGGUAGAUAUAUGUGAGGACUGUGGAUUGAACCAAAUUAUUAAAAUUCAUGAGCUGCAAUUUUAGCUACAAAUAUCAGGUAUUUGUGGUUUCUGGGGGUUUAUGCCAGGAGUUCUCUAACUUCAUUUUUCUGUGCAGAUUACAACAUUUAAUAUUUCAUUAGUCGUUCAAGGAACAAUUGCCGAGAACAUGGAUUUUGCGAAGGUAAUCACGUGGAGUUUUUUUUUCCAAUAAUAUUUCUUAAAAAACCCUAAUGUGGAACCUAACAUUCGUUAUUUACUAUGGCCACUCGUGCAGGACGAGUCACAUCCAUAUGCUGUCCCAAUGGUUAUGGGUAUUUUCCGCAGAUUGGAAAGCCCUUUGGAUAUAACUACUAGUACUAUUAUAAGGAGGAUAGUUUCUAACCAUGAAGCCUACCAGGUAGCUACCGUACUGUUGUAUCAGAUUGCUGGCUGAAUUUGGUCUCUUAUCAAUAAUGUGAUUUUUUUUGUCUUCUUCUCAAUAAUGUGCACACGUGAGCUGUUUUAUACUGAUGUUGAUAAUGAAUUGAUGCUCUGGUGAAGCCUUCUUAUGUAUAUUAAAUAGUUGUCUCCUGGGACCAAUAUUUCCUGCUAUGUCUUAUGCUCUGCUGUUUGAUGUGGUUCCCAUUUAUGCUGGUCCAUUGAUCUGGUGUGGUUUUUACUCACUUUUUCUGUGGUGUUGCUUUGUGCAGAAGCGGAAUGAAAAGAAGGAAGCCAGUGAGAAGAAGUACUACGAGAGUAAAAACUUCGUCAAUGGAGAGUAGUUUGUGAACAUACAUUUUGAGAUACUAAUACCCCGUCACAAAUGCAACCAACCAUCAGGUGUUCCACAGGUUUAUUGUUUAUGUUAUCUUUGUCGUGUUGAUGAUAUAGGCUUAGGUAGCUUGUGAUGCAACCACGCCUACUGAGAUCCAGACAGUGGUGGUGAUUUAGGUGACGAUGCUGGAGGGGGAAGGUGUUUCCUCCGUCCACUUUCCGUCUCCAUCUUUCCUGGCUAGGGCCCCUGUUUAUAGGCUUCGCUGCCUGCUGUUACCACAAGUUUUAGUUGUGGCCUGUAGUUUCAUAACUGUGGUACAGUAUGAAUGUUAGGUUAAAUAACUAUUUGCUGUUGUUGCUUUAUUUAUGCCUCCCGAUAUAUGCGGGCACCGUAUGCAGUCCUUUUCUAGUACAUUCGGAGAGUCCUCUUCUGAUCUUGAGCUGAAAAAUGGACUAACUGAUAUUGUACGUGUGGGUCGGUGAUAGCAACUGCGUCUGAUGGUACACCUGGAUGAAUGGUUCCAACGUCGGUUGGUGACAUCUCGGUAUCUGAUGGCAUCAUGAUGUGGAUAUGUAGAUCACUGAAUCUUGACAAAAUGGUCGCUAGCACGAACACUGGAAGGCUGCCAAGUUGCUGCGGUUUGCUGGUUCAGCCUGGUGCACGUUCGUCGCCAUGGAUGAAAGGGAUGUGCUACCUGUGAUCUCCAGACAGCACAUCUGGGCAUGCUCUCCUAUGAGCGACCUACACUGUUUCUAGCCAUUGUUUUGCCUCCCUGUUUUGUCUCAGCUCUCAUUUGGAUCUGGAAACUGUUGCUUAGUUUUCUGGGUGGCCAUGGGCAUGCCGCGUGAGUCGAUGAACUGGAGUGUCUGUUUUGUGUGGGAAAUCAUUUCGCUUUCUUCCUGGGAAGAUCUAUCUAUGGACAUGCUGCUAUAUUUGGCCUCACAAACUAAGAUUUGUGCACCUCAUUUGCAUCCGGGAUUGGAGUUUGGUUUCUGAAUAAUGGAGUGGGGUGGCAGUAGUAACAGGCAAAACCAAUUGUGUGGGGCAAGCUGAAGAUCCAGCUGCCGCACGUUCCAGCGACCGCCCCUGACAGAGACUCCCCCAGAGCUGGAGAGAUGGAUGGUCACUUGCAUUGCAUCUGAAUGUAGUACUCCCUCCGUUCCUAAAUACUGAACUCCCUCCAUCCUGAAAUACUUGUCGGAGAAAUGCAUAAAAAUGGAUGUAUCUAGAAUUAAAAUACGUCUAGAUACAUACAUUCCUCCGACAAGUAUUUCCGGACGGAGGGAGUAUAAGUCUUUGUAGGGAUUUCACUAGGUGGACUACAUACGGAGCAAAAUGGAUGAAUCUACACUUAAAAUGUAUCUAUAUACAUCCGUACGUGGUUCAUAGUGAAAUCUCUACAAAGACUUAUAUUUAAGAACGGAGGGAGUAGUAUUUUGUUUCAUCCAUCAUGGCCCCCUGAAAAAUGGAAUCCUCAGUCACUCCAGUUUUGUGUCCCCCCCUUGCAAUUGUGGGUGGAUCUUGUAGGUUGCUAGUAGGCUGGAUGAUCUUUUGAUAGAUACUGGAGAUUUGGAGCCGCUCGAUGAAUCACUGUAUGCUGUGUAGGUUGUUACAUAGGGUGUCUUUUAACGUGAUCAUCAUGCCGCAUCCACUGCUGCGCCCAAGUCUGAUGCCAUGAUGGCUAUGUGCUACCCGUGAGCUCUGUCCAAUCCUUCCGACAUGAUUAGUUUGAUGUACCUCUGUUCGGGUUUGUCCGUGUUUAUUGGUCUUCAACGUAUUUUGUGUCAAAUUUUAACUAUAGAUUUAAUGCAGAUUUGACUAAUAAAAUCUAAGUUGUAUGUCACGAAAGUUAUAUUGUUGGAUUUAUAUUUGAAAAUGGAUUCCAAUUAUACUAUUUUUAUGGUGUAUAAAAUAUAUUUUGGUAGUUAAAUUAAGGACGCGGAUAACUGCCACACAUGUGGUAUACUAGCCAUCCGCCCACAUACCGUGUGUGGCGUGAGCAGGAGGCAGCCCACACGGAUUGUGUGUGGGCGAACAUUAGAAUUGCUCACAUAUGUGGGCGUUACUACUUCGUGCCACACGCCCAAUAAAAUACUACUCAUCUCCAUCCUGAGCGUGUGGCACGAAGCAAAAAUGCCCACACAUCCUGACACAAUUACAUUAGAUACUUUUGCGGGAUGACGAUUUAGUUGCCAUCCGAGAUGACAUAUAUAGUUAUCUGGGAUGGCAAAUGUAGUUAUAAAAGCAUGGCAACUCUAUCUAUUUUAGUUGACUAGUUGCCAUGUCUAAUUUAUGAUAGUUGCCGCAUGUAAUCAAGCCAUAGUUGCUGUGUGUGAUUAACUACUUGUCAUAUAUGGUCAAAUAGUAGUUGUCAUGUGUGUUUAUUUAGUUGUCACGUGUGGUCCAACUAUAGUUGCUAUGUAUGGUUAAUCACAGUUGCCAUGUGUAUUUAUCUGGUUGCCACGUACGCGCAACUGCAAUUGCCGUCUUGCAAUGAAUCAUAGUUACCAUGUGUUUUUACCUAGUUGCCACGUACGCGUACUGCAUUUGCCAUCCAACAACGUACGGGUGUCGAAUGGGCGAAAUCAGUUCGCCCACAAGCGCGUGAACUAGGUGUUGGCUGUGUGGGCAAAAACUAGUUCGCCCACAUAGUGUAGUGUAGGUGCCAAACCACGUGCUGCGGGCAUGUGGGCGAACUCUCCAACGCUCACACACCAGCCCCGUCCUACGUGACACGCGAAUUCUACCUCAAUGUGUCAAGAUUCGUGCAAACUUGACUGGACGGUCAUCCAUGCAUGUGGGUGAGUUGCAAAACUGCCACACGUGUGGGCAAAACUGCCACACGUGUGGCCGUUAGUCUUUCCAUAAAUUAGUGGUCAAAUUUUGACUAAAAAACACUAGGGAGUAAUAAACCUGGAUAGAGGUACUAGCUUUGGCUACUCCAGCGCAGAUCAGUAAAACGGACCUCAUCGUGGACUCGAAUCGGGGUGGAGGUCAUUCAAACGGUUGUAUGGACGCAGCGGUGGCUUUAUUUAUAAAAUAGGAUGAAAGCCUAUUUUGAGGAGGUUAUUCGACCGCAUGCACCAAAUGUUCGCUCCUAGAUUUUUCUCCACGCCGACUACACAAAACAAUCAAAGGUAAAUAGCACAAUUCUAAAGUAAUUGAACGAUAAAUAUUCCAAUUCAACAACAAUAGUAAAAAUAGUACAAACAUAAAAUUUUGAAAAAAAUACUUUCAAGUUUGAAUUCAACUUAGUCAACCACAUGUUCUGAUUGUCCAUAUGAAACGCCCAAAGAAGCCCAACCAGAUCAUUCUGCAUUUGCUCAUGAGUUUCUUGAUGUCCAAUUCAACAACAACAACAACAACAACAACAGUAAUAAUAGUAAUAAUAAUAAUAUAAUUCAAAUAUAACAUUUUAAAAUAAAAUAGUUUUAAGUUUGAAUUCAACUUAGUCGGUCUAUGCUAUGGAAGCUAGAUAGGAUCACCACGUUUUGAAAAUUCAGGCCAUGGCGAACUUCUUCAGCCUCAUCCUCCACAGUCAUUUUGUGCAUGAUCAUGCAAGUUGUCAUCAUCUCUCCAAAUGUCUAUGGAUCUCAUAGUUUAACGGUUUCGCAAACAACUACAAAACCUCAUAGUUUAGCGGUUUCGCGAACAACUACAAAACAUGCUUGGAGCACUCCAAUUACUCCCUUGACAUCCUUUCUAGUAGCCUCUUGUCUUUGGACAAAGUGUCAUUUUUAUUACCCUUGGUUCGAAGAUGGUAUAGAUGAAAGCUGCCCACGGAGGAUAGAUACCAUCACAAAGAUAGCAAUCUAUGUUGUAAUCAUGACAAUUGAUGGUAUAGUUGCACUCAGGAGUGCUAGCACACAACCUGCAAACAAUGGAGACCGCUAUAACAUGUUGUCAUUGUGAGACCCAGACAUGCCAAAGAAAGAGUGCAGAAAUGAAAGAUCAUAUAAUGCAACUUAUUCAAGAAUGAUGGUUCCCUUUUUGCAAUGGAGUUGGUAUUGCCCUUCUUGAGCAUAUGGCAAUUCUCUCAUUUAUCAGAUUUGAGCAUACCUAGAAACCGCACAUGGCAAUUCUUUCAUUUCCAGGUUUGAGCAUACCUAGACACCCUCUCGAUUUUCCAAUUGCCAUGAGCCUUGUUGUGUUUACAUGAGUUAGUUCCCUCAAGUACUCUGGUCCAACAGCUUCACCACUAUAGUAGAAAAUUUGACAAUCACUUUAAGGCAUGUGCUUUCAGACAUCCGAAGGUACUCAUCACAAAUUUGCAGUCGUGCCAUAUGCAAACAUCCUCAUUGCAGCUGUGUACAUGACAUCUAUCAGGAUGAAGUAAUCAUCAUAUGCCUGGACAUAUGUCACCACAUCUGAAGUCGACGGUAGAAAUAGGGCUUGAAUAACUCAUUGGGGCAAAGUAGUCGCCGAUCAAAAUCAUAUGCUCGUGUGCCCUAUUUAGAUUCACGACUCAAUGUCCCUUUAUUGAUCCCUUGUAGUUGAGAAUAUGAUCCUCUGCAUGCACCAUGUCUGCAAGAAUCGCCUUCGACGUUGUUGUUUUAUCCUCAUAUUCCUCCUUCUCAUCCAACGAAGAUGACUCCAUGAACUCAUUGUAGAAGUACUCCUUGUCCAAAUCCAUCAUGUUUUCUUUAAAGUAAACUACGAUAACAUAAAAAAAACCAGGCAAUGUCAUUUGGUUGAACACUUGUCGGGCAUAGUGUUUGCCAUGGACGAUGUUGACAGGAAGCGGAGAAUACCGAGGCUGCAACUAGAUUCGUGUUGGACUCGUGACGUAGUCUAUGGCGGGAAGGCGCCUAGGUGGAGUGGUGGAGGUACAAAAAGGACUGGGAGGCGGCCAGAGUGGUACAAUGGCAGCGUUGGUCGCCGAGGGUGUGGAUACAGAUAAUAGGGGCUAGGGACGGAAUAUUCAGAAAGUGCUCCUGGUGUGGUUUUUGGGUGGACCGGGGGUGUCGGAGUACGAAGUGGCGGACGUCCGGACUCCCCAAAUAUCUCCUUCUUUUGGUGUCGGAUUGUGGGAUUUCAGGCGUUUGGACCGGUUCGGACAAUUUUGGUGCCGUCGUUGGAUGGCAAAAAAUGCUCGUAAUGCGCGGUUCAGACAUUUGCAGGCGAUUAGUGAUUCACAUUGGAGUUCUCCUUAGGUAGCUAGCUACCAUGUCUUGUUCUCAUUUCUUGCUAUAGUUGCCACAUAGGAAUGUAUGCAUAAUUAGGGGAAAUGACUUAAUAAAUGCAUGAACUAGGCUUAAAGCAUCUUCAACAUGACUCUCCAUAUGUCCGUGGAUGUGUCUAGAUAAUGUCCUCGGACAUGCCCACAGGAAUCCCAUUUGUCCCUCAUUUUUUCGAACAAAGGCAUAUGAUUGGUGGGAUGGAAAGAGAGAAGAUAUAAAUGAGAGAGAGAGAGAGAGAGAGAGAGAGCGAGAGCGAGAGCGAGAGAGAGAAUGGUCUGGAUUGAUCCACAUUCGAAGUGGCGGGCUAUCUAGACACCCCAUUUCCUUCCCUCAUAAGGGCUAGGUUAGGGUGCUUGUGGAGGUCCGUACAAAUGGAGAAUUUGGGGACCUUCGUUGGAGAGGUGUUUUUGUGUCCGAUCAUGUCCAUACAAUAUUUGGGCUAUCCAUCCAAAAAUAUGUGGAAGAUUUGGGGACCUCGGUUGGAGAUAUUCUUAUGUGGGGAAAUAGAUAACAAGUUCGAAAUAGGGAUAAGGAGAUAUCUAAGGGAAUGUAUCAAAUUAUUUCUCCAUUUACCUGCGGAUAUCCCCCAUUUUCCUACCAAAAUGGUGGUACCCAGGGGUAUACUUCAUUGCAAACGGAUAUUCUUUUGCUACCGAAUUGAACAUAUACAUCACGUCAGUUCUAGAACCUAGUGCCGAACUAAGUGCACAUGAAUGUUGAAAGCAUUUGCUACUUGUGAGCCGCGAUGGGAUUUCAUCGAAGAGUAGAGGAUGAUGCAAUACAAUAGUGAUAAGUAUUUCCCUCAGUUAAGAACCAAGGUUAUCAAUCCAAUAGAAGAACCGUGUAAGACCUCGUGAACAACAUCUACACACAAAGUAAUAAAUACUUGCAGCCAACGCAAAGAAGGGGUUGUCAAUCCCUCGGCGGUUAAUUACAAGGAUCAAAUCUCGUAGUGAUAGAUAGAUAAACAAAAACACAAAAUAAAAUAACGGUAAAUAAAUUCAAGUAAGGUAUUUUUGGAUUUUAAUAUAUGAUAAAGAUAGACCCGGGGGCCAUAGUUUUCACUAGAGGCUUCUCUCUUGAACAUAGCAUACAAUGGGUAAAAAAUUACUGUUGGACAAUUGUUAGAAAAGCGCAUAGUUAUGACCAUAUUCAAGGCAAUGAUCAUGUAUAUAGACAUCACGUCCGAGACAAGUAGACCAACUCCUGCCUGCAUCUACUACUAUUACUCCACACAUCGACCGCUAUCCAGCAUGCAUCUAGAGUAUUAAGUUCAUAUAGAACGGAGUAACGCCUUAAGCAAGAUGACAUGAUGUAGAUAAAGUAAGCCCAAUUAAUGUGAAUAAACCCCAUCUUUUUAUCCUUAGUGGCAACGAUACAAAUGCGUGCCAUGUCCCUUUCUGUCACUGGGAUUGGGUAACACAAGAUCAAACUCAUCACAAAGCACCUCUCCCAUUGCAUGAUAAAUCGAUCUAGUUGGCCAAACCAAACGAAUAGAUCAGAGAGAAAUACAAAGCUAUAACAAUCAUGCAUAAAAGAGUUCAAAUAAGACUCAGAUAAUAUUCAUGAAUAAUCUGAUCAUAAACCACAAUUCAUCAUAUCCCAACAAACACAUCGCAAAAAAGGAUUACAUCGAGUAGAUCUCCAAGAACAUCAGGAGAACAUUGUAUUGAAGAUCAAAGAGAGAGAAGAAGCCAUAUAGCUACUAGCUAUGCACCUGUAGGUCUGUGGUAAACUACUCACACAUCAUCAAAAGGGCAACAAGGUUGAUGUAGUGGUUCUCCAUGAUCGAUUCCCCCUCCGGCAAAGUACCGAAAAAGGUCUCUAGAUGGGAUCUCUGAAGAACAGAAACUUGUGGCGGCGGAAAAAGUAUUUUGGGUGGCUCCCUGAUGUAUUGAAAAUAUUUGGGAAUUUAUAGAGCUGGAAUUAGGUCAAGAGGUGCCACGAGGGGCCCACAAUCCUGGGGGACGCCCCCCCCCCCGGGUCGCGCCUGGCAGGCUUGUCGCUCCCUCAUGACUUUUCAGGUCUUCUCCCAAAGCUUCUAGGGCCCCUUCUGGUCCAGAAAACAUCGUUAAAAGGUUUCAUAGCAUUUGGACUCUGUUUGGUACUCAUUUUCUGAAAAGCCAAAAACAACAACUAGCACUAGGUUAAUAAGUUAGUGCAAAAUGUAUAUAUAAUUUCAUAUAAUUGCAUAAUAAACAUCCAAGAUUGGUACUAUAAUGGCAUGGAACAAUAAAAAAUAUUAUGGAUACAUUGGAGACAUAUCAACAUCCCCAAGCUUAAUUCCUGCUCGUCCUCGAGUAGGUAAAUGAUAAAAAUAGAAAUUUUGAUGUGGAAUGCUACCUAUCAUAUGCAUCAUGUAAUCUCUUUUGUGGCAUGAAUAUUAAGAUCCGAAUGAUUCAAAGCAAUAGUCUAUAAGUUGACAUAAAGACAUCAAUACUCAGGCAUACCAACAAACAAUCAUGCCUUUCAAAAUAUCAAUACUAAAGAACGCUAUCCCUACAAAAUCAUAUAGCCUUGUCAUGUUCCAUCUUCUUAACACAAAGUAUAAAUCAUGCACUACCCCGGUGUCAGCUACCUAUCAUACUUUUUAACGCGCUUCAACUUUUUCAACCCUCACACAAUACAUGAGCGCAAGCCAUGGAUAUAACACUAUGGGUGGAAUAGAAUACGGUGGUAGUGAUUAAUAUGGAGAAGACAAAAAGGAGAAAGGCUCACAUCGACGAGGCUAAUCAACAGGCUGUGGAGAUGCCCAUCAAUUGAUGUCAAUGCAAGGAGUAGGGAUUGCAUGCAACUGAUGCACUAAGAGCUAUAAGUGUAUGAAAACUCAAAAAGAAAACGAAGUGGGUGUGCAUCCAACUUGCUUGCUCAUGAAGAUCUCAGGCAUUUGAGGAAGCCCAUCAUUGGAAUAUACAAGCCAAGUUCUAUAAUUAAAAAUUCCUACGAGUUAUAUGAAAGUGAAAGCAUAGGAGACUCUCUAUAUGAAAAACAUGGUGCUACUUUGAAGUACAAGUGUGGAAAAGGAUAGUAAUAUUGCCCCUUCUGUCUUUUUCUCUCAAGUUUUUUAUUUUUUUGUCGGUCUCUUUUUUAUGGGUUCUUUUUGGCCCUUUUUUAUUUCCUCACUUGGGACAAUGCUCUAAUAAUGAAUAAUGAUGAUCAUCACACUUCUAUCUACUCAACUCAAAAUUACAACUCAAUAUUAGAACAAAAUAUGACUCUAUAUGAAUGCCUCUGGAGAUGUACCAGGAUGUGCAAUGAUCUAGCAUAAGAUGUAUAAAAAAUGAUGAGCAGUGGCUGAGCCACAAAUACUAUGUCAGCCAUAUGAUCAUGCAAAGCAAUAUAACAAUGAUGAUGUGUAUCAUAAAAAUGGAACGGUGGAAGUUGCAUGUCAAUAUAUCUCGGAAUGGCUACGAAAAUGCCAUAAUAGGUAGGUAUGGUGGUUGUUUUGAGGAAGAUAUAAGGAGGCUUAUGUGUGAUAGAGAGUAUCAUAUCAUGGGGUUUGGAUGCACCAACGGAGUUUGCACCACAUCUUGAGGUGAGAAAGGGCAAUGCACGACACCCAAGAGGCUAGCAAAUGGCGGAAAAGUGAGAGUGCGUAUAAUCCAUGGACUCACAUUAGUCAUAAAGAACUCACAUACUUAUUGCAAAAGUCCAUUAGCCCUCGAAGCAAAGUAUUACUACGCAUGUUCCUAAGGGGGAGGUUGGUAGGAGUUAACCAUCGUGCGCCUCGACCUUCAUGCAAAGGAAGACACUCAAUAAUAAAUCGUGCUCCAACUUCUUAGCAUAACGAGAGACUAUACAUGCAUGCUUCAGGAAUCACAAACCUUAACACCAAUAUUCUUACUAAACCAUAAUGUUUCAAUAGUACCUCCACAUAUUACCAUCUUUAUAUCGCAAAACUAUUGCAAGGAAUCAAACUUAUCAUAUUCAGUGAUCGACAUGAAAGUUUUUAUGAUAUCCCUCUUGAAUACCUAUCGUAUCAGGACCAGAUUCAUAACCCAUGCAAAUUGCCAUUACUAUUUACCAAACUCUCAAAAUAAUGUAAGUGAAGCAUGAGAGUGCAACUAUUUCUUAAAAAUAUAACCACCGUCAUGCUCUAAAAAAUAUAAGUGCGGCACUAGAGCAACUGCCUAGCUCAAAAGAUAUAAGUGAAGCACAUAGAGUAUUCUAACAAAUCUUGAAUAAUGUGUGUCCCUCUCAAAAAGGUGUGUUCAACAAAGAUGAUUGUGGCAAACUAAAAACAAAACAAAGAGAAGACUCAUAUAAUACAUGACGCUCCAAGCAAAACUCAUAUCAUGUGAUGAAUAAAUAUAUAGGUCCAAGUAAUUUAUCGAUGGUUGAUAGACAAAAGAGGGGAUGCCAUCCGGGGCAUCCCAAUCUUAGACGGUUGGGUGUCCUUUAAUAUUACCUUGGGGUUCCUUGGGCAUCCCCAAGCUUAGGCUCUUGCCACUCUCAAUUCCUUUAUCCAUUGCGGUCUCACUCAAAACUUGAAAACUUCAGCAAACAAAACUCAAAAGAAAGAUCCGUUAGUAUAACUAGCAAAUCAUAAAAUUUAGGUACUGUUGUAAACUCAUUCAUAUUUUAUCAUUCGAUAUUACCUACUGUAUUCUAGCUUCAGCAUGACUGAUAUCCCCCGAUACAAUCCAUAAAUUCAUUAAAACAAGGAAACAAUGCAAUGAAAACAAAAUCCAUCAAAAACAGAACAAUUUGUAUUGGUAUGGCUAAGCGCUAUACUUCUGUAACCCCAAAAAUUCUGAAAAAUUAGGACAACAUGGGAAUUUUUUAUCAAUCAUGUGUAUUUUUUUAUAAAUUAUAACGUUCCAGUGAAUCUAAACAAUUCUUCUAUUGGGUGUAAAAGUUUCUGUUUUAUCACAGAAUCAAAUCAACUAUUAACCAAAUCAUCCCAAAGGCUUUACUUGGCAUAAACACUAAUUUAAACACAAAAACACAACCAUAACAGUAGCAUAAUUUUGUGCACACCAAAAAAAAA
rnacentral:lncRNA from 1 species